GGGAGGGAGAGAGGGAGAGACAGAGAGGUCUUCCAUCUGCUGGUUCACUCCCCAGACGGCCUCAAUGGCCAGAGCUGAGCUGAUCCAAAGCCAGGAGCCAGGAGCUUCUUCUGGGCCUCCCAUGAGGGUGCAGGGGCCCAAGGACUUGGGCCAUCUUCUACUGCUUUCCCAGGCCAUAGCAGAGAGCUGGAUCAGAAGUGGAACACCCAGGACUAGAAUUGGCACCCACGUGGGAUACUGGCACUGCAGGCGGAGGCUUUACCUGAUACACCUCAGUACUGGCCCCUCCUCCUCUUUUGCAACAGCUACACACAUCCCUCAAAAGUCCGACUCCACACCUGCUCAUGACCUAACCGGAUGUCUGGAGGAGAAGCGAGGCAGCAGGCACUGUGAUGAAAGCCUCUCUUUCCUUCUUCUCCAGUGUCUGCUAGUGACUUCUCGAGCCUCAUGUGCUGCGGAGUGAGAAUCAAAUACAGGAGGCGUGGGGAAGCCCGGCUUCUGGUAGUGACUUUACCCUCAACCUCAUAGGACUGCUGUGGGCCCCGAGCCCCCGUUCCCUGAGCCAGGAACUGAGGGACUGCACAGGACCAUCUCUCAGGCGCUCUCUUGUGCUUCCCUGCCAUGAACCUGUGACAUUUGGAAGGUAGGGCUCCAUAUGUCUCUUUGCAAAGUGAGCCAGCUUGGGGCAGUGGCUGUUUCCUUGUCCCGAGAUGACCGAUGAUAUCUGUCCAUGGAACGGUUCUCACCAUGUUGCAAGCUGGCUGUUGAACCAGCAAUCAGAGGGAUAUAGUUUCCUUUAAGACAGACAGCUCAAGACACAUGGGCAUCCUUUUCACGGGAGGCCGUUUGCGUUUCAGAGCUACUAGAUUUCGAGCUUCCCCUGGGAGAGAACCAGGUCUUCUGGCUUCUGAGCAAGGAGAGAACUAGAACUUGACCUUCAGUCCUUCCAUCUGUGAAUGGUGCAACUCUUUCAUCCCCUCCAGCAAGCGCUGUCUACUGGCUUGCUGUGAAAUUAGGGGAAAGGGAGGUCUGGUGCUCCUGGAACUUCAUCGCUUUCCUAAAGCCUUGGAGAGUUCAGUCGCAUUCCUGGUUCGCAGUAGGUUCUCAAUUGGCAGUGAAACCAGUGCCAGCCUCAUGUCACCUGCCCUUCUGUGUGUUGGGACACGUGCAUCCCCACUGUUGUCCCUGGACGAUAGGCAAAGCAGAGCCCAGUGGCUCCUUGAAGCUGUGACUUGCACUUCACACAGACAGCCUCCUGGUGGGCGGACACAUGGGGGAAGCAGAGCUGCCUGUAGGUCCACAGCUCAGACCUCUCUCUCCUUGCUUCUGUUUGAGCUGCCCCCCACCCCCAUCUCCUGCGGACAGGGUAUGGCUCUGUGUAGAGUAUUACUUUGGCCAUUUUGCUCCAGGAAAAGCAUUAGUAAUUUAUAAAAAAAAAUACACAUAAAAACAGGGGAAGUCAAAUAUCGGCUUAUUGACAACACAGGCACUAUUAAUGCUGGAACUGGCUGGUUUGAAGUGGAGUGAGUUUCUGUUGCUGAUUUAUGUGCUGUUGCUUUGAGGAGGGAUGUGAGUGAGUCGUGAUGGUUCUUGGAAAUUGGCAGCUGGAAGGAGCAGAACUGGUUUGAGUUUGAAUUCCUAAGAGAACAAAAUAGGAAAAGGAGGAGGAGGAGGAGGGGAAGGAAGAGGAGGAGCAGCCGCAGAGAUGAUUUGCAUCUCUCUCUCUGUGCUUCAUGGUUGUGUAUUUAAACGGGAGUGCGUUGCCAGGAAAUUGAGGAAGUACGUGUGUGUGCGCUUUGUGUCAAGCACAGCUCACUGGAAAUGUACCUGUGUGGGCAUGAGGGCUUGCACAAAACUGAUGCUUCUCAUGAAUUUGCCCUGCUUGUUAAGCACAAUUUGACGGAUGGUUUGCAGCAAGAGUGAUGAGGCCUUGACACAGCCACUUUUUUUUUUUUUAAAGAUUUAUUUAUUUAUUUGAAAGAGUUACAGAGAGGCAGAGACAGAAGGAGAGAACCAUUUGCUGGUUUGCUCUCCAGAUGGCUACAGUGGCCAGGGCUGGGGCAGACUGAAGCCAGGGGCUUCAUCCGGGUCUCCCACAUUGAUGGCACAGGCCGUCUUCUGCUGCUUUUUCCAGGCCAUUAGCAGGAAGCUGGAUGGGAAGCGAAGCAGGCAGAUUAACUGCUACACCACCAUGCUGUCGCAUCACAGCCAUGUUUCAUCUUUACUGUAGCAUUUGUUCUGUGGGAAAGGGGGUUUUCUUGAUUUGGGGGAGUUGAAUUCCCGCCCUGUUGGGGGAAUCAAAUUCACUUAACUGGGAAAUUAGAAUUUUUUUUUUUUUGACAGGCAGAGUGGACAGUGAGAGAGAGAGACAGAGAGAAAGGUCUUCCUUUGCCGUUGGUUCACCCUCCAAUGGCCGCCAUGGCUGGUGCACUGUGGCCAGCGCACCGCGCUGAUCCGAUGGCAGGAGCCAGAUGCUUCUCCUGGUCUCCCAUGGGGUGCAGGGCCCAAGCACUUGGGCCAUCCUCCACUGCACUCCCUGGCCACAGCAGAGAGCUGGCCUGGAAGAGGGGCAACCGGGACAGAAUCUGGCGCCCCAACCGGGACUAGAACCCGGUGUGCUGGCGCCGCAAGGUGGAGGAUUAGCCUAGUGAGCUGCAGCGCCGGCCGGGAAAUUAGAAUUGAAGUUGGUUUUCUGUUCCAGAAGUUUCCGUUCCAGAAAGUUGCUUGUUAAAACCUUGCACCAGGGUCUCUGGGCUGAAGGUGCUUGAAGGUGCUUCCUGGCAGAUGUGAAAGGCUUCGGCUUGUUAAGAUUUUUUUCUUUUCUGCAUUCCCGUGUGAGACUGCGGGCUUCCUAUUGCUUGCCCUUCUAGGGUCCCUCGUGUGUACACUUGCUGUCUCUGUUUCUCUUAUGUGCACGUUGAUUUCUUUCUGAUCGACACGUCCUGAGGGCACAGAUGAUUCUCUCUUCCUGUGUUGGGAUCUGGCUGGGGACCUUGGGAAUGCCAGGUGCUGUGACAGAGGACCGCCAACUCAGUGGCAUCCAACAGCAGACGUGUAUCAUCUUGGAAUUCUAGAGUGCGAAUCGCUGGGCCAAAGUCGGAGCCGGCUGGCUGCGUUCCUCCCGUGGGCUCCAGUGGACAACCGUCCCCCGUCCCCUUCCUUUCUGGCUUCUGGAGGCUGCUCGCCUUCCCUGGCCCUUGGCCCUGGGUCACCCCCAGCUCUGUUUCUGUUGUCCCAUCUUCUUUUCUGUCUGUGUCCCUUUUGACAAGGACCUCGUGAUUGCAUUGGGCCCACUUGAGUAAUCCUGGGCCAUCUCUCCAUGUCAAGACCUUCUGUUUAAUCACAGCAGCCAGAUCUCGUCUGCCAGGUACAGUGGACUUGUCACCGGGUCCAGGGGUGAGGAGGACGCCACCUGCAGGGGAGGGCGUUGUUUGUAAGGGAGGGCAGGGAGACAUCAGACCGGAAGGAGGGUCACGCAUCUCCUGGAGGUUUGCUUGCUUGCUUGCUUGCUUGCUUUUUUUUUUUUUUUUUUUUUUUAAGAUUUAUUUAUUUAUUUGAAAGAGUUACAGAGAGAGAGAGAGAGAGAGAGAGAGAGGUCUUCCAUCUGAUGGUUCACUCCGCAAUUGGCCGCAAUGGCCAGAGAUGCACCAAUCCGAAGCCAGGAGCCAGGAACCAGGAAUUUUUUCCGGGUCUCCCACACGGGUGCAGGGGCCCAAGGACUUGGGCCAUGUUCCACUGCUUUCCCAGGCCAUAGCAGAGAUCUGGAUCGGAAGUGGAUCAGCUGGGUCUCGAACCGGCGGGCAUGUGGGAUGCUGGCGCUUCAGGCCAGGGCAUUAACCUGCUGUACCACAGUGCGGGCCCCUCCUGGAGGUUUUCUUAGCAGUCUUCCUGGACUUCUGGAAUCACGCUACCUGUGCUUAGAACCAGAGAGUGAGGAUUUAUUCCUGUUUUGGGGGGAUUCUUUGUUUUCCGCAACAUCAGCUAUGCAGCCAGGUUUUGCUUCUAUCUAUGGUAAACCCUACUCUACCUAUUGUUUUUCUUUCUCCUUGGUUCCCAAGGGAAUUUCCUACCACUUUUAUUUUCUUCUUUUUUUUUAACCUAACAACCAGACCCCAAAGGCUGUUCUCCAAAUGUCACGUUUUCCUGGCUUAAGUCAGAAUUUGAGGGAUUGGAUCAGAUGGCCCUGCCCCCCGCUGUCUACCAUGUGUGUGGGGACAGAGUGGCUGGGCCUGAGAAGGAUCCUGGGAGGGUGCCCAGGCCACCGUGAGGCCACUGGAGAACUUGUGGGUAUCAGGAAAAAGCAUCAGAAGUCUUUGUGAGCCAGUGUGAAAUGUGUGAGACCACAAGUGUUUCUGAUUUUGGAUUUUUUUUUUAAAUUGAUUUCCACAUAAUGAGGUGUCCUGGGGAUAGGACCCAAGUCUAAACAUAAAGUUCAUUUGUGUUUCAUAUACACCUUGUACAUAUAGCUUGAAGGUAACACUGUAUAACAUUUUUCAGUGCGCCUGUGUUUUGACUGCACCCCAUCAGAUGAGAUCAGGUGUGGAAUUUUCGACCUGAAGGUAUCAUGUCAGUGUUAAAACAUUUUCGAUUUUGAAGUAUUUUGCAUUUGGGUUUUCAGAUUAGAGAUAGUGACCUGUAGUAGAAAAUAUUUGCUUAGGCGGAUGUGUGGCACAGUGGAUUAAGCUGCUGCCUGCGAUGCCAGCAUCCUAUAUAGGCAUUGAUUGGAGUCCUGACUGCCCCACUUCCAAUCCAGCUCCUUGGCUAAUGUCCCUGGGAAAGCAGUGGAAGAUGGCCCAAGUGCUUUGCCCUCUGCACCCACAUAGGUAAAGGGUUGAAGCUCCUGCUUUCUGGCUUUGGCCUGGCCCAGCCCUGGCCAUUGUAGCCUUUUGGGGAGUGAACCAGUAGAAGGAAGAUUUUCUCUCUCGUUCUCUCUCUCUCUCUCUCUUUCUGUAAUUCUUAUUUUCAAAUAAAUAAGUAAAUCUUGAAAAAAAUAAUAAAAAAUGACAAAAAAUGCUGUGUGGUCCAUUUUAGGAGAUCUGGGGCAGUGGGUACAGCCUCUUGACACCAGCUUACCACCUCUCAUUGACAGCAAUCUCCUUGUUUUAGACAGAAGGAAACAGAUGUACAGAGAGGUGAAGCACGCUGUCUCAUUGCCCCAGCCCCUGAGUGGCAGAGACCUGAGUGCCAGGAGCCCCAAGUCCUAGGCCGUCCUUUUUUUCUUUUUUUAAAGUUUUAAGUAAUUUAUUUGAAAGGCAUAGUGACAGAGAGGGAGAGACAGAAUGAGAGAGAGAAAGAGAAAGAAAGGGGGGGAGGUUGGGAGAGAGAGAGAGAGAUAGGUCUUCCAUCUGCUGGUUUAUUUUCCAAAUGCCUGUAACAGCUACAGCUGGGUAAGGCUAUAGCCAGGAGCCAGAAACUCAACCCAAGUCUCCCACAUGGAUGGAAGAGACCCAAGUAUUUGAGCUGUCACAUAAGUGGGUAGGUAGGUUAGAAGUGGUGGUGGUGGUGGGGCUGGCGCUGUGGGGUAGUGGGCUGAGCCUCUGCCUGCAUCGUGCCAGCAUCCCAUAUGGACAACAGUUUGUGUCUUGGCUGCUCCUUUUCUGAUCCUUCUCUCUGCUUCUGGCCUGGGAAAGCAGUAGAAGAUGGCCCUUUGCUUUCUGUGAGCUUCAGUCUCCUCCCCUAUAAACUGGCGCUGAACCUGCUUGCCUGCCCUCCUCCAGAGGGGGCAGGAGAGCGAGGGGGGCAGUGUGGAGGAAAGGGCUCCAGGAGCUGUCCGGUGAUGCACUCUGGGAAGCUGUUGCUGCUACCCCUGGCUCUCCCGCUUGUGCCUGUGCACUGUGUCCUCCAGGAAGAGCCUGGGUCACAUCUAGGAUAUCCUUGUUUCAGAUCCUCUCAUGAUGACACAGUGGCUCAUGUGGGGCUCCUGCUGAACUUUGGGAACACCCAGUAGUUGCCAGAGGAAAAAGAGAGCUUGUUCCGCAGGUGCCCAGUUCCGCUGCCCGGGGGCCUCCGUGUGGGGUACCGUGAAGCCGCUGCUUCAUUUUAUCCGAAGCGGGAAGCAAGAGGACUCACUGGGGCUGGCUUGAAAUACACUUGGCUGGAAGCUGUGUGUGUGCAGGGACUGCCCUGAUCUCUUUCUCUGGUGGGUGACAGUGGAAGUGGCCACGUGAUUUGUCAUCUAAAUCGGUACCCUUGUGAAACUAAGUGAGGGAGUUGUAAUAAUUAUGUUGGGAAAGGAGACGUAACUCAUCCUGUCCCCGAGUGAGAGCUGGGGCUCCUUGAGUCACGGUACCUGGGUAUCAGUCCAGUGGGAACCCGGGGCAGGUGGCGUGAGAGGCAGAGUCUGCCUGUAGCCUAUUUGAUCUUAGGUUCUUAGUUUCUUUCCAACCUCUUUGCUUGUCUCUGCCCCUUCAUGAGGCACCAUUCCCCACUGUGUCUGACCAAAUGUGGGUCUUCACCCCCCUCCCACACUGUUAAUUUGCAUGCGAAAGAAGCAUCCUAGAGUUGGAAGAGUUUGGAUGUAAGCAGCCAACAGUUUUGCUUUGGCUAGGCCUCUUGACCUCUCUGAGCCCCAGUUUUCUCAUCUGCAUUAUGGGAAUAACAUAUCAGUUUUAUAGGACUGCUGUGAAGAUCAAACAAAAGGAUUUAUGUGAAAGCGCUUAUGACUAAUUAGGGGUUAAUGCAAAUAUAAAUUAUUAUUAUGAAGGUGAUAGAUGAGUCUCAAAUAAACAGCCCAUAAAAUGAAUUUCUAUUGGGAACAUUUCUGGGUUGAGAAGAAGGAGCAUUUUGGGAGACAGUGAUCUUUUUUGGGGCCCUCAACCCACAUCCUGUAGGCAGUUAUCUGGGUGGGUAAUUGACCUUGGAAUGUGGUAGGUUGUGGAGAUAGACAUCCAAAUUUGAAUCUGGUCUCUGUCUGGCUGUAUGACCUUGGGGAAGGGUUUUGACUUCUCUGAGUCUUGGGAUUACUCAUCUGUGUGAUGAGAAGCAGCAGCCUGUAAGUCAGGAUUGGGGCGAUGAUUGUGGGAUGGAGCAUUUGCACAGAGCCUAGUACACAGCCUGGCAUUCAUGGGCUCUCAAGACGCUGGGCAUCACUUGCUCCUUUGUCCCUCUCCCAGGGCUAUUGGGGUAGGAAGUGGAAAGUGAUUUAACUGACUCUCAGAUAACUCUGUAGAUGACUUGUUCCUUUUCACUGUGGCUUCUGUGGUGAUCACAUGCAGACCUAUUGGAAAUCUUGUUCCAAGGGAGUCAGGACAGAGAGCUUGGAGCUGGGAGACAGAAGAAUGAACAAAAAGGCAGAAGUUUGAGUAGUUGCUUUGGUCUAAUUUUCUGCAUCUUCCUUUUCUUAAUUUUGAUCCAUCCUUCCAUCUGUAUCCAUCUGUCCAUGCAUCCAUGUGCUCAUUGUUUUUCCAUCUGAUGUUUAAAUGCUUGAGAUGUACAAGCUGAUGCAUGGGAAUACGAAGAUCUCCAGCGAGAGAUAGACUAACUGAACUAAAUGAAAGCACGGUUCGAAGCAACUUUUUUUUUUUUUAAUAUUUAUUUAUUUGAAAGUCAGAGUUAUAGGGUAGGGGCAGAGAGAGAGAGAGAGAGAGAUCUUCUACCCGCUGGUUCACUCCCCAAAUGGCUGCAGUGGUUGGGGCUGGGCCAGGCUGAAGCCAGGAGCUUCUUCUAGGUCUUCUGUGUGGGUGCAGGGGCCCAAGAGCUUGGGCCACCUUCUGCUGCUUUCCCAGGAGCAUUAGCAGGGAACUGGCUUGGAAGCAGAGCAGCAAGGACUCGAACUGGCACCCAUCUGGGAUGCUGGCACUGCAGACAGUGGCUUAACCCACUGCGCCACAGCACCAGUCCUUUGAAGAAACUUCUAGGUGCAAGAUGAUUGGGCACAGUGGGGAUGUGUGUCAAUUAGGACCCUUUAGAUUCAAGCUAGCAAAACCCGACAUAAAUUGGCAAGAACAGUGGUGAGGACUCACAGGCUGUGUAACUGCAAAGUCCAGAGCAGGAGACACGGAUUUGGGGGAUGACUUCGCCUUCCUUCCUGGCUAUCACUGGGUCUUCUGCAGCUCACCCGUGACUGUGUGGUUCCUUAUUCGGAUUCUCCGAUAGCCUUGUUUUAUUGGGAUGAGAGCAUUUUAGGUCUUCUGAGUUCCUUUGUGAGCAGUCAGCAGGCAAUACUUGCUCUCAGCCGCAGAGCUGAGUGAGACUGAUGGAUGAGAGGUCGUUGUGGCUCAUGAGUGCCUCUUGGGUAGAAGUUUGGACAGGGAUGGGUGCCCGGGUCUGUUGUGCCAAAGAGCCUGGAGUUCUGUGGCUGGUUAAAGUAUGCAGUUUAUGAUGAUCUCCCGUUUAUAUUCUGGAUUGUAUAGUGGGAAUGCCCAGGGUUAACUCUAUUAUGGAGGGGUUCUGAAUGGGUUAGCUAAUGCAAACCAUUUAACCUGUCUCGAUAAGAUUGGGCUGAGAGGUUGUUUAUUUUUAUUUUUAUUUUUUUGAGAAAAGGGCAAAUUGACUCAUUGUAUCCUAACCUCAGCCUGUUUUUUUCUGUCAUGCAGUUCACUACUAACUGGCCCAGCUGGUCUCUUGACCAUACCUUAAGUAUAUUUGUGUUUUCUGUUUAUUGCAUUCUUGAUACUACUUGCUAGAAUAACCUUCGGUUAGGGUGUUUCUUACCCAGCUCCAUUCAGUGUUUAUCGUAAAGCUUUUCUUAAUACCCACAGCUAUCGCCCUUUUCUUUGAUCUCCACGGCACAUGCGUCUGAACCACGCUGGCCACAGUUAUGUAUUGCAUACUGCGGUUUUCUUUCAUUAGGUUUUUAAAAAUAAUCCCAACUUGAUUGAAGGCAGCUCAUAAUGUUUUGUAUUUUCUAUCACUCCUGAUAAAUAUUUGUUGAUUUCACAUGUUGAACGUGGUGUGGCUAGCCUUCCAGGUGAGAAUGGCAGAUGGACCCCAGGAAUCUUUUGUUUCCCUCUGAUUUCUGAAACCAGAGUGAAAAGAUUAACAAAUCCACAAACUUGUAGGAUAGAGACCGUGAGAAUGAAAGCUUAAGCAACAUACGUAUUUUAAAAUUGUGAUAAAAUAUACAUAACUGAAAUAGGACACCUUGAUUGUUUUAAAGUAUAAACUGGAGUGGCAUUUAGUGCGUUCACAGUAUUGUACAGUCACCACCUCUGUCUGCUUCCAGAAAAUUUUCAUGAUCCCGAAAGGACAUCCUAUGCCCAUUAAGCAUCCAUCCCCACUUUCCCUUCUGUCUAGCCCCGACAGUCACUGGUCUGCUUUCUGUAUUUAUGAACUUGCUGGUCUUGGGAAGAUUGCAUACAUAGAAUUGUACACCGCGUGGCCUUUGUGUCUGGCGUCAUUCGCUCAGGAUAAUUUAAGGCUCAGCUGUGGUGUGGCAUUUAUCAGUGCUGCAUUCCUUUUUGGUACUGAGUACUAUUCUGUUGUAAGGAUAUACCACAUCUUGUUUAUCCAUUUAUCAGUUAAGUGGCUUGUUGCCACAUUUUAGUUGUUAUUAGUUAUUAUGAAGAAUGCCACUAUUGUGAAAAUCCACGUGUAGCUUUUUGUUUGAACACCUGUUUUCAGUAUUUUUGGAUGUGUACCUAAGAGUGAAAUCGAUGGGUCAUAUAGUCACUGUAUGUAUAAUUUAUUAUGGAAUUGGCAAACUAUUUUCUAUAAUGGCAGUACAUUUUUCAUUCCCAUCAGCACAAGUAAGUCCCAAUUUCUCCCCUUCCUUGUUGUUAUUUUUUUGUAAAAUUUUAAAAAUUACAGCCGUCUUAGAGGAUAUGAAGUGGUUUUGAUUUACGUUUCCCCAGGGAUCAGUGAUGUUGAGCAUCCUUUCAUGUGAACAAUAGAGUUUUGCAAGCUGGAAAGUAAAUGUGGAAAAUUGGACCCUAUCUGGACAGCAACGGAGAAAGCUGAGAAUUGAUCUGAUUUAUGCUGUGUAAUUCUUCCAAGGCCUGGGAGUCGGUCAGGAAAGUACCUUGGGGGCUGCACAAGCCCAGCUGCCCUCUCUCACUCCAUGUAGCCUGUGACUCCUCAUAGCCACUCUGCAGAAAAGCUGGAGGUUUCUUGUGUGGAGAGAGUAAGCCACAGCAUCUCUGGACUUGGGAACCCCUUACCCUGUUGAGAGUAGGGUUUUACCACAGACAACAGGUAAUUUAAUAUAUUAAUUGAGCAUGUGUGCUGAGCAUAUACGUUGAAGGUUUUGAAAUAUUCCUCAUUCCCACCCAGUGUUCUUCAGAGACUUGGCUCCUGGCCAGUUUUUCACCCCAAAAGCAGAGGGUUGGGAAAGCACUGACCACAGGAGAGCUGGAAGUACUUCCCUGGAAGUUCUUCAGCCCAUUGGCCCAGAGUGAGGACCCUGUUGGCAAGCCCUUCUCAUCUUCAGAGGUUUCAGCCAGUUUCUAGUUUUCCAGAAAUAUGGGCAGAAAUCUAAGAAUUGCCUGGUAUAUGUGUGAAGCCUCUAACCUAUAGAGGGGGAGGAGAACAAGGGAGGAAGGGACUUGGAGGAACCCAGGACCAAGUUGGGAAAAGAAAAUGCAAAAUGAAAAACCUAUUACUAAUGUCAUUGGACAGAUAAAAGGAGAUAAUGUCAUCUCAAAACAAGGAUGGGAUAUCAUAAAAACCAUAUGCAGUGAAUCCGAAAAGUGCCCUUGGAAAUCAUGAAGCAGAAAUGAAGAAUCUAUGAGAAGAGAUUUUCCUAGAAAGUAGAAUAAAAUCAGCAGAGAUGAAGACGACAAAUAGAAUAAAAAGGAACUGUUUAAGGGGUUCAACAUCUGUAAAAUUAGAGUUUUGGAGAAAAAGGAAGAGAAGAAAUGGUAAAUGAAUCAUUUCAAGAAAAUUUCCAGGAACUGAAGGUUCCAUGUUGGGAAAUUCUGCCAAGUGCCCACCAUCCAAAUAGACUCAGACAUGACUGACAUUUCAGAAUCCUGAGAACCAGGGGGCAGGUGCUGUGGUAUAGUAGGCUAAGCCUCUGCCUGAGGUGCUGGCAUCCCAUAUGGUGCUGGUUUGAGUCCCAGCUGCUCCACAUCCAAUCCGGCUCCCUGCUAAUGUGCCUGAGAAAGCAGUAGAGGAUGGCCCAAGCACCUGGGUCCCUACACCCACGUGGGAGACCCGGAAAAAGCUCUUGGUUCCUUGAAGAAAAUAUGUCAGUGGGAUUAUGAGUAUUUACCCGGGUUUUCUACAGUGAUCUUGUACUUCUUUCGUAAUGAAAACCAUGAUGGAUGGGAGUUCUUGGUGCUGUCCCCUGUAGGAGUGACUGUGUCCCAAGGGAGGCAUCUUUAAUUGCAUCACAGCCUUGCAGGAAUUUAAAGAAAUGCACAGAGUACCUUGGGUCAGUUGGCAAGUGACAGGAUGCCUGUGAGCCUUUCCAGACCGAGGCACCUGUGUUGUGCCCCCUUCCCACUGCUGACCCCCUGCUGACUCACCACCGACGUUUCCUGGCUGUGAAAGAUGCCCCCCAUCGCUUGCUCCUGUUGCUGUGCCAAGCUGUGUGUGUUUAGCUUCUUGAGAAUCUUGCCUCAGAAAUCAGCCUGCCUCCCUCCUUCACUGUGGGAACCACUUUUCCUUGCAUUCUCUGCCAUCAGACCCAUGGUUAAGGGAAUGGCUCACUGAGACUGGGAAGUGGCGGGGCCUUCGAGGGACACGGAGACAGACCUUCAUGGAUGCUGUGUUCCAGAGUACUUUCAUUGGAAGCUGGACCCCUCGUUCUGAAGCCGGUAUGUCGACACCGUGACUGUGGACCCACGUUGUUGACAGCCUAAAGCUGCAGUUUGAACACGUGUACGUUGAUUGAAUGAGGGCUGUCCUUGGCUGUGCUGGGUGUGUCUUCUUGCAUCAUUGUCUCACCUGUGGGCGAGAUACUGUCUUGAUUUCACAUCUGAGAAGGUUGAAGCUUAGUAAAGUCCUAGUCCCCUCCCCUUCCCCUCCCCCUCCCCUCCCCCUCCCUUCCCCUCUCCUCCCCUCCCCUUCUCCUCUCCCCCUUCCUUCCUCUCUCUCCCUCCCUCCCUUCCUUCCUCCCUUCCUUCCUUCCUAUUUUAACUUUAUUCUUUUACUUAUUUGAGAGGCAAGGAGACACAGAGAGAAAGAGAGACAGAAGAGAUCUUCCAUCUGCUGGUUCAUUCCUCAAAUAUCUACAAUAGCCAUGGUUAGGCCAGGCUGAGGCUAGGAGCCUGGAACUCAGUGUGAGCUUCCCACGUGGGUGGUAGGGACCCAACUGCUUGGACAAUCACUUGCUGCCUCCCAGGGUGUGCAUUGGCAGGAAGUUAAAAUCAGAAGUGGAGGUUGGAUUCAAACCCAGAAACUUCGCUGUCGGAUGCAGGUGUUCCAAGCGAUGGCCUAGCUGUUGUACCAGACGCCUACCCCAGGAAGCUGUAGAUGUAAUGAGCUUGGUGGUUCACCCCAAUGUGCACUUACACUUGAGAGUUACUGCUGUGUUUUGUAUGAAGCUGGGUUCUGGACACUGCCAGGAUUUGAAGAAAAGAUGCUGUCCUUGCUCUUAAUGGGUUCACUGUGUGAUGAGAGAGACACGCUUGAACGGAAGGCAGAACAUAACUGUGGCUGUGCAGAGUGACUCAUUGAUCACAGCAAGCCUCCGUAACAAGUAGCAAAGCAGUGGGGGCGAAUGUUUGGUGCAGCGGUUAAGACGCCAGUUUGGACACCAGUAUCCCCUCGUGAGUGUGGGGCUCCGUGCCUGACUCCUCGCCACCGUUCCCUGUUGACGCAGACCCUGGAGGCAGCAGUGACGUCACCAUUAUUUGGCUUCUUGCCAGGAUUGCGCUCCCAGCUCUCGGUUUAAGCCUGACCCAGUUCUGGCUAUUGUGGGCAUUUGAAGGAAUGAACCAAUGCAAAAGAAUUCUCUCUUUGUCUCUUUCUCCCUAUUGUAUAAAUGAAAAAAUAAAAAAAAAAGCAAAAGAAAUGUACUGGGUUAAUAAUUUUGUGGCAACAGAAAUCCCUUGCAGAACCGUAUGCUCUACAUCCUUUCUACUGUAGGGGGAGGAUGUGGUGAAGGGCGGAGUGGGCGUCUGAUGAUGUAGAAGGUAAUUGAGGUAAACGCUCAGAUGUUCACAUGACACUCUUUAUUAACCCCUAAAAUGCACUCUUUUAAUUAUUUGUUAAAAUCUAUGUAUGGAGCUGUUGAGAGAGAGAGAGAGAGCUCUACUCUCUCCCCAAGUGCCACAAUGGCCGGUACCAAGGCUAAGAGCUAGGCAGGAACCCGACUACUCAAGGCAUUGCUGCUGCACUGGCAGGAAGCUGGAGCCAGAUUUUGAACCCAGGUAUUCUAAUGUGGGAUUCAAGUAUCUCAACUGACAUCUUAGCAGUUGGCUAAAAUCCCUCCUGCCAUGUGGUAGUGAGACUACAUCCAAGAGGAAACCAACAGCCAACUGAAAGAGAUGGUAUUUAGGAGAGGAGCUCUCUGGAUCUACUCUGGGGGGUGUCAGCAGUAGAAUCAGGGCUGGUUCCAUGUAGCAGGCAAAGCAUCAUGAACCUGGGAAGAAAAUCUUGCGUUCAUUCUGAUCAAGUUUCUCCGCAUCUGGGUAAGAGAAGCUGUGGUCCACUCACAUUUACCAUUUCGACAGCUGGCUUGGAUGAAGUCCAUGUCAUAGCUUCUGGCAUUGCACGGCCAUGCUUUCUUAUCUGCGCCACACGAUGACAUUGCUUUCUGGAAAAUCUUGACGUGGGAAGUUUUGGAAGCUUGUUCUCUGGUGUCCCACAUAAGUAGGGUUGGGUCAGGCCAUUGUAGAGUUUGCUGAGUGAGCUCUCCCUGCCCCUCACUGUCACUGGGGGAGGAUAUGAGCGGGGGACAGUUAAUGGUAUUCUAUAGUGUGCAGAGGAAGGAGAAGUUAUUAGCACUGUGUUGGAGAAGAUGGCAUCUGGAGUGGACCGAAAGGAUCAUCAAGCAACCACAGGACAGACAUUCUAGUGACAUGCACCUGCAGUUGGUGCAGUGUAGUGCUAGGACUGUGUAUUGCAAGUGACAGGAAGCCCAAGUAAAACUGGCCUCAGAUUUACUCAGGAGUUUGAGUACGUUUCAGGGCAGGCUGAUCCAGCAGCUCAGGUGAUGUCCUUAAGAACCCAGGUUCAGGGCCGGCGCUGUGGCUCACUUGGUUAAUCCUCCGCCUGCGGCGCCAGCAUCCCAUAUAGGCACGGGUUCUAGUCCAUAUGGGACUCUUCCAGUCCAGCUCUCUGCUGUGGCCCGGGAGGGCAGUGGAGGAUGGCCCAGGUGCUUGAGUGCCUGCACCCGCAUGGGAGACCAGGGGGAAGCACCUGGCUCCUGGCUGCGGAUCGGCACAGUUCCAACUGUAGUGGCCAUUUGGUGGGUGAACCAACGGAAGGAAGACCUUUCUCUCUGUUUCUCUCUCUUUGUCUAUAAUUCUGUCAAAAAAAAAAAAAAGGAACCCAGGUUCAGUCUUUCUCCUCUUGGCCUUUCCCACCAUCAGCCUGUUGCCCCACGAUCUCAUAAUCCCCGUCUCAGACCUGCUGUGCCUGUGCCUUGGUUUAGGUCCUUGCAGAGGCUAAGGUACAUGAGGGUAAGCGUUUGAAGAGGUUCUGGUGCCCAGUUGUGAGGUGCUUAUCAUGCAAACCUGUGACUCCUGGACUUGCUCCAGCAAAUAAUUGAGUGACCACUGGGUGCAAAGUGCACUGUAAGGCAGGCAGUUACCCGUUAACUGUGGUGGACCCUGGCCGUCACAAGAUGUGCAGUCUUAGGGUGUGCCUACAGCAACCAGCAAGGGAAAAAACGUUGGAAAAACUUGUUGCACUGAAUCAGUCACCUCUUGAAAUUCGUGUUUGCUUUCUUGCAUGGGAGUAGGUGUGCAUUUUUGCCAGGAGGGGAGGUUCUAGGUUUCGAGUCAGCCUCAGGAGUAAGAUUGGAAGGUGAGAGUAGUUUGUUGAGCUUUUAAGUGAAGGACUGCUUUCCAAGUAGUGUGUGAGUUCUUGGCGGGCAGGCUGUGUUUCAGCAUUGGUCAGGCCAUGUACGUAGCCCCAGAAUAGCAUCUGAGUUACGAUUUACCUGUCGUCUUCUCCCCAACUUGCGAUGGUUGAUGGGCAGAAAAUCCCUGUGAAACCUUGACUCAAGCCACAGAAUGGCUGAAUAAUUCAAGCUUGACUUUCUGGGGGAAGAUUUUUGAAUCCCCAAAUAGGACUCUUAGGGAAAUGUGCAUGAGGUCUCUUUUUUCCUCCCCUUUUAAGCGUAAUUAGGGUUUGCACUUAAGUAACGGGAGGGGGCUCAGAUUCAGGGGGAGUUUUUGUUACCAUGAGCUUAAAUUAUACACCAGGAUUCUCCUCUCCCAUAACCAUCAGUAAAAAGCAAAAACAAAAUUCAAAACCCAAAAUAAAUAAAAAACACACUUAUUUGAUCUCUGUCUACCUUGAAGGGUCUUGGUUAUGCUGAUGGGAGAAAAAUAAUUUGUGGUCAUAUCUUAGAAUCUUUUACUCUUUUUGGUAAAACACAAAAAGAAAAACCUCUUUUUUUUUUUUCUUCUGCAAUGGCCAGGGCUGGGCCAGGCCAAAGCCAAGAGCAAGGAGCUUCUUCAGGACUCCCAUGUGGGUGGCAGCUUCCCAGGUAUUUGGGCCAUCCUCCAUUGCUUUCCCAGGCCAUUAGCAGGGAACUGGAUCAGAAUUGGAACAGCAGACCUGAACUGGUGCCUGUAUAGAAUGCCAGUGUCACAGGCAGUGGCUUUAACCACUCUGCCACCACCCUGGCACUUCUUUUUAUCUGACAAAUUACAAGUUUGGGGCUAUUGUCAGAGCACAGUGGGUUAAACUGCUGUGUGUGACACUGUUACUCCAUAAGUGCACCAGUUGGAGCCUAGGCUGGCUGCUCCGCUUCCAAUCCAGCUCCCUCUUAAUGUACUUGAGAGAGCAGUGGAAGAUAGCCCAAGUACCUGGGCUCCUGUCACCCAGCUGGGGUUCCAGGCUCCUGGCUUCAGCCUGGCCCAGCCUGGCCCCCACCAUUGCUGCCAUUUGGGGAGUGAAUCAGAGGACAGAUGACUCUGUCUCUUCCUCUGUCUUUGUAACUCUGCCUUUGAAAUAAAUAAAAAAAAAAUCUUUUUUUAAAAAAUUAGAGUGGCCAGCAUUGUGGCAUAGCAGAUAGAGUGGCCACCUGUGAUGCUGGUGUCCCAUAUGGACACCAGUUCCAGUCCUGGCUGCUCCACUUCUUAUCCAGCUCCCUGAUAAUGGGCUGGAAAAAGCAGCAGAAAAUGCCCCAAGUGGUUGAGCCCCUACCAACCACGUAGGAGAUCCAGAGGGGGUUCCAGGCUCCUGGCUUUGGCCCAGCCCAGCCCUGGCAUUACAGCCAUUGGGGGUGUAAACCAGUGGAUGGAAGAUCCUCUUUCUCUGUUUCUCCCUCUCUCUCUCUGUAACUCUGAUUUUCAACAUAAAUAAUUCUUUGAAAAAUUAGAAAUUGUCAUGAAAUUGUUUAUUCUUGUUGCUUUCUUGGGUGUGUUCUUCAGUGUCUUUUCUCUGUGAUUGGAACAGUCACGCCAAGGUUGAAACUAUGUUUUGCUUAUUAGUAUCAAUGCUCUUCCAGCUGCUUUAAAUGCUUGGUAAAUGUUCUGUGUUCUCUAAUUUCUCCCCAGCAUUCCAGGUUAGGCUUUUGUCUUUCCUUCAUUUCCUUUCGUUCCUUUUCACCCUGGUCAUCUUUUUAGGCAGUGCGCUGUCAGCGGUACUUUAGAGACCUGUUAUUCAAGUUGUGGGUCCUGCUGUGAGACGAAAACUCGAAUUUAGAUACUUUCUUCCUGAUAUGUUUUCCCACCUGAAUCUCUGUUCUGUUGCCAGUGCAUUUUGGGGAGAAGAUGAGCUAAUUUACGGGAAAUUGAAAUAGUCCUUGAAGAGAACUUGUUCAUUCAAAGGUUUUCAGGUGAAAUGUUAGGAAAAAAAUUGAGUGUACCCAAAGAAAAGUCAGAUAAGGGCCCAGUGAGUGCUUUGGGUGACGUUCAGGUGGGCUCACCUCUACAGACAGAGCUGAUCUCCCCCAGGUUCCUGGUGCCCCUGGCCUGGGAGGGACAAGUGGCGCUUGGCAGAGGGUUUACUGGAAGGUGCACUGGGUGAGCAGGCAGGGAUUAGCACUGCUGGGCUCCGUCUCCAGCACUGACGUGACCUGUGAUUUGGGUGAGGCUUUCAGUUGCUUUCCCCUGUCCCUGGAGCAGCUGGAUGGGAUGAUGCUGUGCGCCGUGCAAUGGAAGGUAAAGCUCCUCCCAACCGUCUGACCUGCUGGCCUAUCGUUGCUCCAGCUGUGCCGGCCUCUGUCCCUCUCCCUCCUCUGGCUCUGGUCACGCCAGCCUCACCGAGCUGCUUGCUUGCUCAGCUUGUUCUGUGUCGCCUGCUCAUUGCCUUCCUGAAUCUGAACCAUCCAUCCAGGGCCACUCCGCAUGGCUUCAGGCCUUUCCUACCUUCCCAGGUCUUUAAUGAGUUGCUCCUUCUCUGAAGCCUUAUUGUACUUGUGGUCCACCCCAUACUGUGCAACACGGCCACGUAUUGGCCCCACUUGCCGUUCUUUUAUUGUGGCCUUUUUUGGAUCUGGAAGGGACUGUGUAUUCAGGCUUUUCUUGACAUCUAACUCUCAGAGAACUUUGAGGACAAAGACGAUGUCCUCAUUAUGUCCCCGUUGCACCCAGCGUAACCUGGGCCAAUAAUAGGUGUCCCAUUGACCACUGGUGAUUAAGCCCAGGAUUGCUAGGAAACAUGAAAGCUCCAGCAUUCCAGCAACUCACUGGCCUAACAUGCAGGGCAAGAACAGAAGCGCAGAAUGAAAUUUAAAGCUCAGGCUUUCCACGAGGCUCUUUCCUGUCUUCACAGUAGGUGUGCAGGGGCUUGCUUUCCCCUCGACGUUCCUUACUUUCUGGGAAGGAUUUUUCACAUUUAACUCAAAGCCUUGUUGGUCCGUCGCGGAUGCUAACACACCAGCCCGUGAAGGCAGCGUCUCCCCCUCCAGCCUCUGCUGUGGGGCAUCACCACAUUUCCAUGUCCUGUCAGUCCCACUUCUGCCCUGUGCUUGGGCUCUGAUGGUUCACCUGAUGGAAACUUUACCGAGGUCACUCUCCUGUCUGUCCUGUUUAACCUUGAAGUUCAGAGCUCACCACGCCUGCUGCGGUGCGGAUCUGUGUUCCUGUUUCACCACCGUUGUACGGUGGGAGAAUAUUAGGGCUGGAACAUAACAGAGGAAAGGACAUGGCUGCAGAUGGAGCCCUGGCAUUGUCAGCUGUAGCACAGGUACCUACGAGGCAGACCACUGUGUCAAAGAGGGCACCACGACCCUGUCUGCUUAUUGGUCAUUUGCUCUCCUGUAAGACGCUGGUUGCAUCGUGCUGUCCCCUGAGCUUGGCGGAACACACUUUGAAAAACACCAGUCUAGCUAGGCUGUCUCAUUUUCCACCUGCAGAAACUGAAUUUCAGAGGAGCAGAGUGGUUGGGCUGAGCCCCACAGCCUCCUUGAAGCUGUAUCUGCCCACCCAUCUCUGCCUACAGCAUUUCACAUAGUGGGUGUUCAGCCGGUUGAGAGAGAGAAUGCAAGGCAUAAUUAAGUGGGGUUGAAUGAUUUCCUAAUGGAUUUUACAUUUGCAAUGAAAAGGAUGUACGUGGCGGUGCAGUUCCUCCCAUAAUUCUCAACCCUCGGCUGUUUGAGCCACAGCAACAGGAUGAAGAAUGGCCAAAAAAGGUCACGGGCGUGAAGUUCAGCUGUCUUGGACGGGCACUGAGUAGUUUUUCUUGGCUUUGACCUGCAAUUUCUUAGCUUUCUCAUCGAGGCCUUAGCUAACUUGGGUCAGAUGGAAGGGUCUGUAUGUUUUCAACAAGCAAGUAUAGGAAGGGGCGGGCACAGAGACUUUGUGUUUUGUUACCUAAGCUGGGAUUUGAUCUCCGGACCUUCAAGGUGAAAGGCUAAUACCUUAAUUUGUGUGUUUUAUAAACAUCCCCAGGCGAUGACCUUCUUCUAGCCUCGCGCGAUACUCACAUUCUUCAGGGCCGAGAGCUAAAGUUUCGGGCUGGGAAUGGAGUGGUGUGUGUGUCGCCUGCUUGCUCAAGUUCAGAGGCAGCAGGGUGCCGUCCCUGCAUUCCUUGUUGGUGAAAUUUGCUUGCUCAAAGUGCAUUGCAAGCUUGCUGGGGAUUUCCUGGCAGAAUGGAAUUCCUGCCUACAGAGAAAGGUGUAUCUAUCUCCUGGUUGAAAAACGAAAACCAACAAGUUCCCCUCUCCAGUGGGACAUGUGUCCCUUUAUAGCUUCUCCGAUCCUGAACGCUUUCCUGUAAGGGUCAUCUUUAUUUCUCUGGUGUCAGUCAAAUUAUUUCUCAGCAGAGCGUGAAAAUGGAGAUGGAGACGCUUCAUGGCUGUGUGUUAGAACCACACUGAAAGUUUUGUGUUUUAUGUAAAUAGAGAUUGAUGGAACAUUUUACACAGAGUACGGGCUUUUGACAAAAAGUAUUGAUGGUUGCUUUCAGUAAGUGUUACUUGAGAUGACAGAACAUUGCAUUUUAAGAUGAAUUACACGAGAAACUCCCUCUUUGGGAAUGUCAUACGUUUUAUUUCAUCUGUUGUUUUAUGAGAGAAUGACUGAAGUCAUGAAUACCUCAGACUGAACUGUUUCCUUUGCGCAUUCUAAGUCCCGGCUUGGUGCACUCCUAUUUUAAAUAUAAAGUUAUGGGGAAAAUAUUUAUACUGGCAAAUAAUAUUGAUAAAAAUGCUUAAGUGUUCAGGAGCAGAACAUAACUUCUCACGUGGUUUCCUCUUGUGUGGCAGUGAUUUGUGGGAAGCCUGGGAACUGGCUUGGAGUUAAAUAUAUCUGGUUUUCAGAAAGAUCUCAGAGAUUUGGCUUGCAUAAGUGGCUAUUUUGGGGGGGGGUGUCAGUGAUUUCUCCGCUCUGGUUAUAUGUAGAUUUUAAAAAUGCUCUCCAUUCAUUUAUCAUUAUUUGUUCCUGAGGCCAGGGCUUAGAAAUCAGGGGCUGUUGUAACCAGUUUGGGGUCUUAAUUUUCUUUAUAGCAUUAAUUCGUAGAUGUUAGCUUCCUGGCAUCUCAGGACUUAAUUGUGUUAAUAGAUAGUAUGUUUAUUGAGCUCAUAUCUCUGCCAGGAACUGGGGGAUACAGUUCUGAUUUUCAUGUGGUUUACACUUGAGUGAGGGAGAGAGGCAGUAAGCAUAAUAGAAUUUGAGGUAGUGCUGUAUGUUAUGGAGAAAGUAAGGUAGGGAUAAGAGGUUAGAGUCUCUGGGAAGGUUGUAUGGGAACUCUUUUAGAUGAAGAUGUCAGGGAAGACUGCUCUGAGAAUCAGCAUUUCAGCAAAGAGCUGAAUGAUGAGAUGGCUUGGGAAGCUGACAGAUGGAAUAGCAAGUGCAAAGGGCCUGGGGCCUGGACUGGCUUGCUGUGUUUGAGGAGCAGCAUGCGUGCCAGUGCAGCCACGGUGGUGGGUAUGCUCCAAGUCUGGAGGGUGCCCUGAUGGGCUGACAGGAAGACACAUACAAGAGGAGUGUGAUUCUGCACGUCUACCCGAUGCAUGUGCCACAGGGUUCUUGUUUUAUGAUCAUACUGUCUUCAUCUACCUCGCGCUUGGCCAAACCGCCCUCCCUGUUUCCCCCUUGCUGGCUAUCAUAGAAAUGUCUUACUUCCCCAUUGACCCUCUUGCUCCACCGUUUGCUGGAUGCCAGCAUUGCACGGGUAGAUCCAGCCCCAGGCACCAGGGAAAUUUGGAACUCUGAUGCAGUUAAAUGUGUUCUCAUAUACUUUAGUGUUACUGUCUUGCACAGGGGCCACGCUAGUCCUCUGUGUGUCUUUCCAUACAUUCUCUGUGUGUGCUGCCACAGUGAGCACUUUAGUGUUACUCUCUUGCAGUGCUGAGCCCACACUGUUCUAAUUAGUUAUGUAUGCAGUUACCUCUCCAGCUUUGCACUGCUCUUGUUCACGUUUGGGCUGCGGGUGCUAGUGCAGUGCCGGCCGCCACAAAAUGCUCAGUGUGUUUGUUGGCUGAGUACAUGAAACCAUUCUCUCCAUGUUACUUGGUUGCCUGUGAUGAGUUGAGGAAGUAGGGUGAAUGCAAAGUUAGUGAACUCCCUACUUUUAUAGAAGGAGUUAAAGCCCAUGGCGGGAAACAAGAAUUUUUUUUUUUUUUAAGGGAGGUAGGGAAGCCUUGCUUUGGAGCUACUUUAAAGCAGUUAAGAGUUUAAAGACUCUUGCAGGUUUGAGAACUGCUGCAUGGAAAGCCUGAUGGGGUGGCAGGGGCCAGCCACGUCCGCAGACUUUGCAGCAUUGGUGUCUCCAUCCCAGGGCCUUACAAGAUGCUUUGUCCUCCAUAAAUUUGGAGCUGAUUUGGAGCUAGCUGGCUGUUUUUCUCCCUGAUGAAUUAAUGUGCUGUUCAGCCUAAGCUCAAAUAUGAAAUAUAUUAAAAGCAAACUGAAAACAGGUCAAUGUUUUGCCUCUAAUGCUGUGGGAAUAUUUGUUUUUAAAUCAUCUUUUAGUACUCCACAAAUCUUCCCUAUAAAGUUUUUUCUUUUUCUUUUUCAAAGCAGAAACUAUUUUUCCCGGUGUAAAAGGCCGUUUCUUAAGUCCUGUUUUAUUCAGAAAUUUACAUGGAGAAAACAGCCCUGGAUCCCACACAAGUGAAACUUUAUUUUUUAAUCUGGGGCACAGUAGGGAGCCCUGAGAAAUGCAUUUUCCUCCAAGAUUGUAGGAGGAAUACGCAGUGUUUGUUUAAAGCAUCAGGUAUUGAGAAAUGUAAUGGCAGGGUGAAAAGUUUGACCUCAGCUGCCAGAUCCGAUCUGCUAGGGGGUAAUUGAGUUGCCAUGUUUUUUUCCUCUUCAGUUUAAAUCAAGUUUUGCUAUAGCCCAUUUAAGUGUCAAAUUGGUAGCAAAACUUGACAACUUCAGGGUGCAGACUUGCUUUUGAUCAGAAUUUACAUGCAAAUCAUUUUUGCCUUGAACUGUCAACUCCUGUUUCUGAUACUCUGAGGGGGGACACGUCUCUCCCCUCCUCUCCUCUGUACCCCUCCACCCCCCCAGCCAAAGGGGAUGUUGGCUAAUGUUAUUAAUCAGUGUGUGGAAGAAAAAUUAUCUUGAUAAAUAUGGUGGUUAAACUAUAUUUUCCCUUUUGUGUGUCAGCUGUUGCAGCUGGGCAUUUAAUCUCCUUUUACCUAGAAGGAAAUCAGACAAUUAUCCAGCUCUUGAUGUCAAAAAGAAACUAGUGACUGCGGGUGGAGGGUCCCCAGUGUGUUGGGGACUGGACUUAAGCCCCUACAACCUGACAAAGGGUGCUGACAGUCGGCAUUUUCUUGGGCAUUAAACAAAGUCUUUGGUAACUUUAAAGAAUCUUGCCUUGCAUGACUAAACUCAUUGAGAGGGUUAGAGAGAAAACUGCCUCAGAAGUCUUAAGCCUGAAACUUUUUUUUUUUUUUUUUGGUUUUGCCCUAAACCCUCGGGAUGCUUAAAAGCACGUGAGCGUGUGUAGUUCCAUGGUUCAGCGAGACAAAGGAGCGCUGGCACUUUCACAGAGUUAAUAAUGACAGUAGCAAGUCUGUUUUGUUUGUAGCCAUCCUGUCUUAGCAUUCCUGGUCAUCUGCCUUCCUGAAGAAUUUAAUUGUGAUUUAACCCCUGUCUCUCCAUUCUUACAGACAGUCCCACUCUGAAACACCAGAAAAUAGGAGUCAUUAAAAAAAAAAAAAACAAACAAACAAAAAACAAAAACAACACAUGGAAGGAAAGAAGUUUCUAGAACUCACUGUAGAAGAAGAGAGCUGAGUGUGUUCAUAAUGAUCCACUGUGGAGCCUAGACAUUUAGGAAAAAAGUGUGAGAUUUUUACUUGUAGCCAACUCUAAACUCCUUCUCAUGGCUACACCCCCAGCGGGGCGAGAACACCAAACGUGUCACCUUGCCAACGCGACAGCCAGCGUCGUGUCAACCAUACACACGCAAGCCUGCCUGAUGAAGUCAGAGGGGCUGCGGGAUCGGAUUGGCUUGAUCCGGCUGGGGGCCCCCUCACAGACCCUCCUAGAAAUGUGACCGCCAUGGUGGGGGUGGAAGGGGGCCCUGCCGGCUGUGUCCGGGGCUGGCUGCCUGUGUGCUGUGAAAUUUUAAUUGAAUUGUUAAUGACACCGAGGAGUGACACAACACAUGAGAAACUUCCAAGAAUCAGUCAGGAGGAGCCCUUUUUCUUACUGUUACAAAACAGAAGACACUGGGAAAUUGACAAGUCCAAGAGGCGAGGCCAGGGCAGUAAUUGAUAGCAGGCUGCCGAGAGCCAAGGUCCUGCGCUGGUAAUUGCAAGCAGGGGCUGCCUCUCUGAUCUCGCCAGUGGUGCUGGCCGUGCCAGAGCGACCCGGCGUUGACGGAUGGCUUUGCCGCAGUAAUGACUUAGGCAUGUUCCCUCUCCUGCGUGAGGCCAUGUGUCCCUCCCACUGGAGAAAAUGAGCUGAGCAUUUUGCUGCUUCUUUAACAGGAUGCUGUUAAAAUAACUCUAUUCCGUUAUAUAAGCCCUGUAGUGCCAGGGGCUAAAUUUAUAUGGUUAUAAACAAGAGAUAUUACUUUGGAAUACCACAAUACUGUGUUUUGCUAUUUCUUUAGGAUUUCAAAUGGUGUUUUCAAAAUAAUGGAUUUUACUUGAAGAAAAAGAAUGGGGGCUGGGGGAGGGGCGCAGAGGGAGGAAGGAUCCCAUUUCGGAGCAAAACCCUCAUCCUAUUUUGAAAUUCCUCUGUGUGCCUCCCCUAAUUCGCUAGCCCAGUAUUUAUUUAUUUGUAUUUGUGUUUGGGUUGCUGGCUGGAUUUGGCUCUCUGUGGGGGCAUCAGAAAUACUAUUUACUCCAGGAUUCUGAAAUAAGAUAGAAAUUUUAUUUCAUGUUUUUUAAACUCCCCAAAGGUUUCUUUUCUUUUUUUUUUUUUUUCUUUUUUCCCAUUUCCUACUUCUGGACAUUGAUAGAUUUCAGAACUUUCAUGUGGCUUCCCUCCCUCCCUCCCCCCGCUCCCCCUACUCCCUCUCCCCCUUCCUAGAAUAUAAUUUUGUCCAUGAAAUAUGAUGGUCAGCCGAAAUGUCCCUGCUGAUCUGCAGCAUGUCGGAUUGGCACCCCUGUCAGGGACGAACGCUGAUUCUCGUGGAGGGGGCCCCCAAAGCGUUUCCCGCAUGGCUCGCACCUUCUGGCCUGUUUAAAGUUCAGGUCCCUCACCUCAUCUGUGUCCAAACACAGUUUCACACCAAGAACCAGCCUCAAAAGACUGCCGGGAAGAGCCCUCAACACUCAGCCUCAGACUUCAGAAAUGAAAAGCGGCUCUGUGCGUGUGCAUGUGCGUGCGCACGCAUGCGCACCCCGCUCUCAGGUGCAGAUGAGUUUUGAUGGAGAACUUAGCGGGAGGGACUCAGAUCACUUCUGGGAGAACGGGUAGAGGACAGAUCAGGCUGCAGUUACUUACCUUAUAUUUAGUCUCUAAUUCUCCAACUUGAAUGGAGGUUUAAAUGACAGUGGGCGCCCAGGCCAUCUCAGAAGAUUUAUUUCUGUAAAAUGAAAAGCACUCUUCCAGGUGAAAUAGUUUUGUGGGCCAGCCUGACAGUGUAACCAUAAUAGCACUGGUUCUACUGGAAAAUUCCUCCAAAGGCCCGACUUGAAUACAGGGUGCUAGGAAAACGAUUUUCCUAGCCUUCGCUCUCACUGCCUGUGACGUGGGAAGGGAGGACUUCCCUCUUGGACGACUCUAGCAGCAAAGUGGUGGGCUCUAGCCUGCCAUUAGGGCCUGGCGCAAGGCUGUGAAUUCUUCCUGUUGUAGCGUUCGUGUGUGGUGUGUGGUGUGUGUGUGUGUGUGUGUGUGUAAAAGCCAGAUUUUGAUUUUUGUUUUUUUCUGCAUCAUUUGAAAUCCCUAUAAUAAUGAGAAACAAUGUGAAGAUCAUUUUGCUUUUUGCAGCUUUUAUGAGAAGCAACAGACAAAUGAAAGGUGUAUAUGUAUCUGGUGUCUAACCUGAUGGUUUGACUAUUGUGUUAUUCUGGUGGGGGGCAUGCUUGUCAGUACGAAGGUGUUAGAGUCUGGUAAUUAACUUCACUUCUGUUUUCAUUAUUUUUUUAAAGAUUAAUUUUAUUUAUUUGAAAGAGAGAGAGAAGGAGAACAGAGAGAGAGAGGUCUUCCAUCUGCUGGUUCACUCUCCAGAUGGCCGCAAUGGCCAGAGCUGCGCGGAUCCGAAGCCAGGAGCCAGGAGCCUCUUCCGGGUCUCCUGCAGGGGUGCAGGGGCCCAAGGACUUGGACCAUUUUCCACUGCUAUCCAGACCGUAGCAGAGAGCUGGAUCAGAAGAGGAGCUGCUGGGACUAGAACUGGUGCCCAUAUGGGAUGCCAACACUUCGGGCCAGGGCUUUAACCCACUGCGCCUCAGCGCCGCCCCCUCCCCUUUUUUAAAGAUUAAUUUUAUUUGUUUGAAAGAGUUAGGAGAGGCAGAGAGAGCUCAUUAUUGAUAUGGUUGUCAGCAUGAUGCUUUUGGCCUUUGGCCUGUCUUUCUUGUGUUUUCAGUGUAUUUUAUUUUAAAGCGUGGUUCUCAGGGGUUUGGGAGAGCACCCCACUCCCAAGGGACACUUAAUUUGUCAUACCUGGGGCUGGGGCGGUUGCUCCUGGCAUCCUGCGGGUGGAGGCUGGAGGUGCACAGGCCAUCUUCUGCGGCAGUUACCAGGUCUGCAGCGGCAGUCUCGUGUAGCGUGGUGACGUAUAGAAAUAAGCUCUCAGUAAACGUCCAAGAAUUGAGUCAGAGACUACGCUCUGUCAAUCAACCAGUGUUAACUAAGAGCAUGGAGCUGCUGUGGGUGUCCCAGAAGCAAAGGGAUUGGAGGAGUGCCCAGGUUAGACACACACCUGGGCUCAGGGGGUGGCUCUGACUCUGGACUUGUUGCUGCUAUGCUAAAGCGGAUGCAUGACAGCACUGGUAUCUUCAUAGGACAAAGCCUGUAGACAAGUGUGUGACUUACACCAGACCUCAGUCAGCAAAUGAUAGCUGUGUGUAACGUGGUUGCGCUCUAAAGGUGAUGACAUUAGUGAAGCUUGGAGAUCACUUUACUGAGGUCUUCUGUUUUACAGAUAAGGUUCCUGAGUCUCAGAGGAUAUCAUUUACCCCAAAUUGUGAGAGCUAGUAAGAGAUGAAGUUGGACUAGAACCCAGACCUCCUGACCCUGAGUCCCGUGUUCUUUACAGUGAUAUCAAGCUUCAUGGUCUAAUCCUUGAGUCUUGUUGCGGGGGCUGGUGCUGUGGCGCAGUGGGUAAAGCCACCACCUGCAGUGCUGACAUUCCAUAUGGGCAUCAGUUCAAGUCCUGGCUGCUCCACUUCUGAUCCAGCUCUCUGCUGUGGCCUGGGAAAGCAGUACAAGAUGGGCCAAGUCCUGCACCUGCCUGGGAGACCCGGAAGAAGCUCCUGGCCCCUGGCUUCGGGUCUGCGCAGCUCCGGCCGUUGCAGCCAUUUGGGGAGUGAACCAGCAUGUGGAAGACCUCUCUCUAUGCCUCUAUGCCUCUCCUUCUCUCUCUGUGUAACUUUUUCAAAUAAAAUGUUUAAAAAGAGUCUUGUUGAGAAGGAAAGUCUAAUGUGAAAAAAUGAGAGCAAUAUUUGUUGUCAAAAUUUCCAGUCUGAGAGCUCUGGAUCCUGAAAGGUCACAGGCAGAGGUAAGUAGGAUUAUGGUUUCUAUUGACCACAGAACUCCUGGGGAUUCUGUUACCAUGGUUGUCCAGAAUCUUGUGCUGGGAGCUGAAGGGAGCGAGAGGAGCACUGUAGGGAAGUCUUGAGCUUUAGUUCUUUUAGUACUGAGCAGCAUUAUUUCAUGGGGGAAGUUGGAAACUUUCAUGAAGUUUCUUAAAGACCUGAGACAGGCACAGGAAGAAUGAGAGCAUGUUUAUUGAGUGUCGAUCAGUGUUGGGCGUGCUGCCAGGUGAUUGCACACAUGCUUCCUGGUUGGAGUGGCCCGACUGCACCCUGGUGAUACGGCAUCUUCCAUGUGCAUGGUCGUGGAUGAGAAUGGUGACAGACGGGCACAACAUGCUACCUGCAAAGGCUAUGCUUUUGGAGAAGGUCCAGUGGCAGAGGAAAAUACCAUGAGCUAAUGAUAAAUAAAGAAGCACGUUACAGUGAAGUGUUACAUACUGUGGGUCCCAGUUGUACUGGGAAGUAAACAUGUGAUAUGUAAGGAAAAAAAUCCAAAGAAUCUGCUUCAGAAUAUUUACUGGCAAUUCCUAAGGUUGGGGUCAAGGAUGGUUUUAAUUUUCCUUUUUAUCUGUAUUUUUAAAAUUAGUUCCCAUUCUGUAGAUAAUUAUGAAUAAAAGUCAUUUUAUUGGAAUGGUAGAAUUGAGUUUCUUGUGCCUGGGAACCAUUAGCAACAAAAGUGGAAGGUCUUCUUUUAAGGAUCUUGCUGUAGUUCUGGAGGGAAGAUGUAUACGUAUGGAAAAUUUAUGAAUAAUAACCACCACUACUGAUAGCUAGUAAUUAUUGUACUGUGUAGUGACUGAUUGGAUUACUGCUUGCAAUCUCCAAACUUUGGAGAAUGUUUCUGGCCAUCCGUGUAGUUCACAUACAUUAUUCCACUGAAUCCUCCUGAGAGACACAUGAGGUACCUUAGUAAGUAUUCUGAUUUACUUUUUAAACAUUUUGAUUUUUUAAAGAUUUAUUUAUCUGAAAGGCGGAAUUACAGAGAGGCAGAGAGAGAGAGAGAGAGAGAGAUCGAUCGAUCUUCCAUCUGCUGGUUUACUCCCUGAAUGGCCUUAACUGCUGGGCCUGGGCCAGGCUGAAGCCAGGAGCCAAAAGCUUCUUCUAGGUCUCCCACAUGGGUGCAGGGGCCAAGUACUUGGACCAUGUUCUGCUGCGUUUCAAGGCACAUUAGCAGGGAGCUGAAUCAGAAGUGAAGCGGCUGGGACUUGAACUGGUACCCAUAUGAGAUGCUGGUGUUGCAGGCAGGGGCUUUACCUGCUAUGCCACAGCACUGGGCCAAGUAUUCUGAUUCUUUUUUAACUUAUUUGACAGGUAGAGUUAGACAGUGAGAGAGAGAGAGGCAGAGAGAAAAGUCUUCCUUCCAUUGGUUCACCCACCAAAUGGCCUCUAUGGCUGGCGCGCUGUGCUGAUCUGAAGCCAGGAGCCAGGUGCUUCCUCCUGGUCUCCCAUGCGGGUACAGGGGCCCAAGCACCUGGACCAUCCUCCACUGCCCUCCCGGGCCACAGCAGAGAGCUGGACUGGAAGCGGAGCGGUUGGGACUAGAACCCGGUGCCCAUAUGGGAUGCCGAUGCUGGCGCUGCAGGCGGAGGAUUAGCCAAGUGAGCCAUGGCGCUGGCCCCCUGAUUUUACAGAUGGAAGAACCUAGGUUUAGAGAAUUUGGAAAAUGAUGGACCCAGAAUUGACUUCAGAGUUGAAAUCUUUAACCUCCAGUUAGUAUGACUUCCCAGAGUGCUCUGCUUAGCUGGUGAGACACCUGGUGCUUGUAGCCAGUGAGGACUGAAGGAAUGACAGCCAUAGAUCAUUUCAGCAUGGGCAGGAAAAGGAAGAAGGGUCAGGAGUCUAAAAUGAGCUUUGACAGGGUUGGGAGCAAGGUUCCUUACUCACCUUCCAGCAGGAUUUGGUGUGCUUCUGGUGAACCCAGCCUGGCAUUUUAGGAUGGUUCUGUGCGGCAUUACUGGAAGUCUCCAGACCACAGCACAUGAACCACUUGUAACGUUAUGCCAGGUGUGGGGAGGGAAGAGGAGCCCAAGCCCAGGUUGGAGAAGUGUCCUGUGAAGGUAGCUUUCUUUCUUGGUCUCUCAGAUCCCAGGUUGUCCUUUUGAAGGUUGUAAGUUCAGUGACUUGGCUGAGUGUGGCUCUGAUACAGAACCUCUGCUUGGCCUCGCUGAGUCAGUCAUCUCUGAGCUCUCAGCCUGCACAUGUCUGUGGUGCCCACACAAUGGCUGAAACCACAGAGGCCACAGUAAGUGCUGUGGAAUGUGUGCAUGUUUUGCUUUUAUCAGGAAUAUCACAUGGCAUUUCCUGAUUGCACCAGCAGCUUGCUGACCCAACUGAGUUUCCAGACUAAAUACCAGCGCUCAAGCCACAUGUGUUUAUAGUAUAUAAUAAAUCUCCAUUUGUCAUUAUGGUUUAAAUUUAAAAGAAAAAGAAAGGUGAGCUGUUACAUUAAAAAAAAAAAACCCUCUUUUUGGCUGUUAUAAAUUAACUUUCUUGGAGUUUCAGGUCAAGCCCAAUUUAUUAAGGGGGAUAAGAAAAGAUAGAAACCUGGGCUGUGAGCAUGAUGGUGAUUUAUCCCCACCUUGAGCGGGUCCUCCGUCGGACCUUGCCUUGCACUGUAGCUGGCUAGGUUUUUGCAGGACCUGCUGGGAGCCAAGGUUGUAAUGAAAAACAGUUAUUCUUCCAAAUUACUCACAAGAAGAGGGCCGGUUUUAUCAAGGGCUCUCCUAAUUUGAUUGUAAGACUUUUCAUGUUUAUUUUUUUCUGCAUUAAUCAUGCCGUAUCUUUGUGGAAAGUGUAAACACAGUGGUGAAAGACAGCAUUUAAAACGAAGAAAGCCGCACCACCCCUCAGAGGACACAUGCAUGGCAGAGGUGGCCUGUCGGGAGCCCUUACCAGGCAAUUAGGAAAGUUAUUUUAGGUUUGAUAGCAACGCUGUGAACUUUCCCGGAGACUCCUGUAGUCCAGAGCAGGCUGGCAUUUUGUACUUUUGCAGAUUAACCUUUAGCGAGGAAAAGGAGUUCAGUAUUGACUUGUUUCAGCAGGAACCAGCGCGGCGCUGGCAGCCUGAGCGUGCAUCUUGCCGCAGGAAGGCUCCUCUCUGCCCUGGAUUGGCUCAGGCAGGAGUCCUGGGAGCUCCUCCCUGAGGCAGGCGUGAGCAGCUCUUCUAUUGAUACUCUGGGGUGGGCCCAGGGGUCUGGGACCCUCCUGGGUCUCUUUUCCUGGCAGUUAGAUUCUCUCUCUCUGGACAGCCUGCACUGUCUUGAGCAGUGCAGGACAAUGAAGGACACUUUCUGUUGUCAGCCAAGGCUCCCAGGUGGUCUCUGCUUCCCAGUGUUCCAUGUUGAGUGCUCUGUCUCCGUAAGGAAGGCAGCUCAGAACCACACGCCGGGUGGUGUUUUACCAACGUCCAAGUGGAUUUUCCUGUGUGUGCACGUUGCUGACAUCUGUGAUAUUUCUUAUCUGAUCUCUGGCUCCUAAGAGAGAUCUAAGUAUGUAUAUAUGAGGGGACUUCAAAAAGUUCAUGAAAAUGGAAUUAAAAGAUGAGUUCAUGGGGCUGGUCUUGUGGUACAGCAGGUUAAGCUGCUGGUUGUAAAGCCAACAUCCCAUAUUGGAGUGCUGGUUCAAGUCCUGGCUGCUCUGAUUCUGAUCCAGCUUCCUGCUAAUGUGCCUAGAAAAGCAGUGGAAAAUGGCCCAAGUAUUGGGGUCCCUACACCCAUGUGGGUGACUUGGAUGGAGUUCUUGGCUUCAGCCUGGCCCAGUCUUUGCUUGCUGUUGCCAUUUGGGGGAGAGGAACAGUAGAUGGAAGAGCUCUCCCUCCCUGUCACUCUACCUUUUGAAUGAAUGAAUGAAUAAAUACAUCUUCAAAAACAGGUAAUUUCGUGUGUAUGAGGGUCUUCAAAAAGUUCCUGGAAAAUGUACUGUAAAGAAACUGUGCAUAGAUUUAAACUAUUUUUGCACCAAAGUGAACUUACUUUUCAAUUCCGUUUUUCCUUGAACUUUUUCAAGCACGCUUGGACUCAAUUGUAUAGGCCUAUUUCUAAGAAGCUGGAGGUGCUUAAUGAGGUUCCAUUUGAGGCAGUAGAGUGAGGUAGGUCCUUAAAAAGUACUUGAAGGGACUUGUGGUAUGAAGGGUAAAUGCACCACUUGCAAUGCUGGUAUCCCAUGUGGGCGCUGGUUCAUGUCCUGGCAGCUCCACUUUUGAUCCAGUGCCCUGCUAAUGGCCUGGGAAAAGCAGUGGAGGGUGAGCCAGGUUUUUGGGUUCCUGCUACCCACAUGAGAGACCCAGAUGAAGCUCCUGUCUUUGGCUUGGUCUGGUGCUGGCUGUUGCGGUCAACUGGGGAGUGAACCAAUGGAAGGAGGAUUCUCUCUCUUUCUCUCUCUCUUUCUGUAGCUCUGAGUUUAAAGAAAAACACAAACCAAAUAAAUCUUUAAAAGUGUUUUUAAGGAAGGUAAGUCAGGUUGUAUUUAUUAUUAUGUGCUUAUUUUGUCAUUACUGUUUUUUGUCUUUGGUGACAGUAUUUAAACUAUAUUUUAAAAAAAUUAUUUUUUGAAAGAAUUAGAGAGAGAGACAGGGAGCAAGAGAACUUCCAUCUGUUGGUUCACUCUGUAAAUGGCUGCAAUGGCCAGGGCUGGGCCAGGCUGAAGUCAGGAUCCAGGAGCUUCAUCUGGGUCUUCCACAUGGGUGCAGGGGUGCAAGAAGUAGGGCCAUCCAUCACUGCUCUCUCAGGCACAUUGGCAGGGAGCUGGAUUCAAAGUGGAGCAGCUAGGACUUGAAUCGAUGCCCAUUUGGUAUGCUGGCACCACAGACAGUGCCACAGCACUAGCCCCUUAAAACUGUAUUUCUAAAGUUAGUUUUAGUGAAAUAGAAUUUACAUACACUUAAUUUGUUUUCUAAAUUAGCUGUUAGAUGAUUUUUAAAAGAAGAUUUAUGUGUUUGAAAAGGCAGAAUGACAGAGAGGGUGAGACAGAGAAAGGGAUUGUCCAUCCACUGGGUCACUCCCCAAAUGGCCACAACAGCCAGGGAUGGGCCAGGCUGAAGCCAGGAGCCAGGAGCUUCUUCCAGGUCUGCCAUGUGGGUGCAGGAGCUCAAAUGCUUGGGCCAUCUUCUGCUGCUUUCCGAGGUGCAAUAGCAGGGAGCUGGAUUGGAAGCAGAGCAGCCAGGACUCAGGCUGGUGCUCCAGGAUGGGAUGUCCACACCACAAAUGGCUGCUUAACCUACUGUGCUACAACACUGGCCCCCAUCAGAGGGCUUUUGACAGGUGCCUGUAGUCAUGUAAGCACCACCACAAUUAAGAGAGAACAUUUUCAUUACCCCAAAAUGUUCGCUUGUCCCUCUUCUCAAUGUUUCUCUCUUAAGCUCUUUGCAUUGCUGCAUCUAAUUUUUGUCUGCAGAGCCUUGCCUUUCCCCAGAAAACUGUAAUAAUAUGGUGUGUACACUUGACUUCCUUCACUUAGCUUAGUGCUAAUGAGAUUCAUGCAUAUUGUUAUAAGUAUUACUAGCUCAUUCCUUUUUAUUGCUGAACAGUAUUCCAUUGUGUGAAUAUAUCACAAUGGUGGACAAUUGACCAUUUGAUAGUAUUUGGAUUAUUUAAAUUUUUUAGGUAUUAGGAAUAAAGCAGCUAAAAACAUUUGUGCAAAAAGUAGUCUCUCUUGAUAAAUGUUCCAUGGGUCCUGAGAAGAAUGUGAAUUCUGAAACUGUUGGCUGAAGUCUUCUAUAAAUGUCAAUUAAGUUAAGUUGGUUGAUAGUGCUGUUUAGGUCUUCCAUAUUUUUAAUCAUUUAAACAAUUUUUUAAAUAUAAAUUGAUGAGAGAAAAGUAUGGAAGUCUGUUUUUCUGUCCCUUUUUUUUUUUUCUGAUUUCUUCUUCGAGCUUGGUCAGGUUUUUCCUUACAUGUUUUGUAACUCUUGUUAGAUGCACAUGCAUUUGUUAUAUCUUCUUGAUGAAUCAACUCUUUAUCCUGAACAUACUGCUUGUCUGAAACCUAUUUUGUAUGACACCAUUACACAUGUACCUACCUCUUCCUCUUUAUAGUAGACUUCUUUUAGAAGGCAGUAGUUGAGUUUUGCUUUUCUAUCCAAUCUGGUGAUUUCUGCUUUUUAAUUAGAAUGUCUAGGCCAUUUACAUUUAAUAUAAUUAGUAAUAUUGUUUCUUUUGAAUCCACCAUUUUGCAAGUUGUUUGUUCCAUUUACUCUGUUCCUGUUUCCUUCUUUUCUUUCCUUUUUUUUUUUUUUUGGAAAUAUUUGUUUAUAUUUGUGAUCCUGUUUCAUUUCCACCAUUGGAUUAUAGAUUUAUUCCUUUUAAAAAUUUUCUGUUGAUUGAUUUAGAGUGUAUAGUAUAUAUCUAACUUACCAGUUUACUUUUUUUUUUUUUUGGACAGGCAGAGUGGACAGUGAGAGAGAGAGACAGAGAGAAAGGUCUUCCUUUUGCCGUUGGUUCACCCUCCAAUGGCCGCCAUGGCUGGCGCACUGCGGCCGGCACACCGUGCUGAUCCGAUGGCAGGAGCCAGGUACUUCUCCUGGUCUCCCAUGGGGUGCAGGGCCCAAGGACUUGGCCAUCCUCCACUGCACUCCCUGCCACAGCAGAGGGCUGGCCUGGAAGAGGGGCAACCAGGACAGAAUCUGGCGCCCUGACUAGGACUAGAACCCGGUGUGCUGGCGCCGCAAGGCGGAGGAUUAGCCUAGUGAGCCGUGGCGCCGGCCACCAGUUUACUUUCAAAUAACAUACUUUAUUGUGUAUAGCUCAAGAAUUUACAAUAAUAUACUUCUGUUUCUUCUCUACUGUUCUUUGUCCCAUUGACACAUGUUUUACUUACAUAUAUGUUAUCAAUCCUGAUAAUUGUUAUUAUUUUUUUCUUUAAAGAGUAGUUGUCUUUGAAUCAGGAAAAAUGUUUUUCUAUUUUUUAUUUUAAGGGGAAAAUUAAAAUAGUCUGUUCAUGUUGUUUCUUUUUUUUUCUUUUUUUUCUUUUCUUUUUUUUUUUUUACAGGCAGAGUCAGUGAGAGAGACAGAGAGAAAGGUCUUCCUUUUUCUGUUGGUUCACUCCCCCUGCCCCAAGUGGCCGCUACAGCUGGUGCAUUGCUGCCGGUGCACUGCGCUGAUCCAAAGCCAGGAGCCAAGUGCUUCCUCCUGGUCUCCUAUGUGGGUGCAGAGCCCAAGGACUUGGGCCAUCCUCCACUGCACUCCCGGGCCACAGCAGAAAGCUGGACUGGAAGAGGAGCAACUGGGACAGAUCUGGCGCCCCAACCAGGACUAGAACCUGAGGUGCCGGUGCCGCAGGCAGAGGAUUAGCCUAGUGAGCCGCAGUACCUGCCUGUUUAUUUUAUUUGCAGCAAAAUAUACUUUGCAGAGUCAGUUUAUUUUUAAAGAGAAUAAAAUGAAAAAUAGAGCAUCAUUCUUCUUGCAUGUUUUCCAUUUCUAGAAUUCUUUAUUUCUUUGUAUGGAUCUCAUCUCAUUUUCCUUUUGGUAAGAUUUUUGUUUGAGGACUUUCUUUUUUAAAAAUGUUUUAAUUUUUAAUUAUUUUUAACAGAUUCAGUGUGCUUUGUAGAUACAGUUCUCAUAUGGUCUCGCUUAUAAAAUGUUUCAUGUGCUGAUGAGAAGAAUGUGUAUUCUCUGUAGCUGUUGGGUGAAAUUUCCUAUAAAUUUCUAUUUUCUUGAUAGUAUGUUCCAACUCUGAUGUAUCUUUAUUGAUUUUUCUGUCUAGGUGACCUGUCCACUGAUGAGAGUGGGGUGUUGGAAUCACCCACAUGAUUAUAUUGGAGUCUAUCUCUCUCAUUAGGUCUAAUAGUAUUUGUUGUGUAUAUCUGGGUGGUCUUGUGUUGGGUGCAUAUAUAAUUAUUAUGGUUUUGUCUUCACACUGAAUAGAACUUUUAUUAAAAUCUCGUGUCCUCCUUUAUCUCUUUUUAUAGUUUUUGCUUUAAAGUCUGUUUUAUCUGAUAUUGGGAUAGCUAUGCCUGCUUACUUUUGGUUUCCAUUUGCCUGGUAUAUCUUUUUCCAAUCCUUCACUUUCAGUCUGUGUACAUUUUUAUGAAGCGAAUUGCUUGUUGACAGCAUAUAGUGGAGUCAUUUUUAAAAGAAACUUAUUUAAUGAGUGCAAAUUUCAUAAGUACAGCUUUAGGAAUACAGUGAUUCUUCCCAUCGUACCCACCUUCCCACUCCCACUCCCUUGCCUCCCUCUUCCAUUCCCAGUCCCAUUCUCCAUUAAGAUUAAUUUUUAGUUAACUUUUACACAGAAGACCAGCUCUGUACUAAGUAAAGAUUUCAACGAUUUGCAUAAGCACACACAAAAAAUAUAAAAACUGUUGAGAACAAGUUUUACAUUUAAUUCUCAUAGUACAACUCAUUGAGGAAAGAGGUCCUUCAUGGGGAGUAAGUGCACAGUGACUCCUGUUGUUAGUUUAACAAUUAAUACUCUUAUGUAUGAUGUCAGUGAUCACCCAAACUCUUGACAUGAGCUGCCAAGGCUAUGGAAGCCUUUUCAGUCCAUAGUCUCCAUCAGUAGGUAGGCAAGGCCAUAAGCAAAGUGGAAGUUCUCUCCUCCCUUCCAAGAAAAGUACAUUGUUCUUCGAUAGUCCCUUCUUUCCACUGGGGUCUCAUAGAGAUUGUUCAUGUAGGAUUUUUUUUUUUUUUUUGGCCACAGUAUCUUUGCUUUUCAUGCCUGAAAUGCUCUCAUGGGCUUUUCAGCCAGACCAGAAUGCCUUAAGGGCUGGUUCUGAGGUCAGAGUGCUAUUUAGAGCAAUUGUCAUUCUAUGAGUCUGCUGUGUGAACUGCUUCUCAUGUUGGAACAAUCUCUCCUUUUUAAUUCUAUCUAUUGUUAUUACCAGACACUUGAUCUUAUUUAUAUGAUCCCUUUAACACUUAAUCCUAUAUAUAUGAUCAGUAACACACUUAAUAUGAUCACUUUAACACUUAAGAUGGCAUUAUUAUCACCCAGCUUAAUGGGAUUUGAAGUCCCAUGGCAAGCUUUUAGCUGUACCCUUAAAAGUAAGUCUGUAGGAAUGUAUACAGAACUAUACAGUUUUACAGUUAUAAACUUCCUCUUCCCUCUUUUAUUUCCACUCUUAUUUUUUACUGAUAUCUAUUUGCAGUUGACUUUAUAUACAUAUGAUUAACUCUAUGAUAGGUAAAGAGAUCAACCAAUGAUAUUAAGAAAAAAAAAGAAAAAUAAAACUGUUCCUCAAUAGUCAAGACAAGGGCUGUUAAAGUCAUUGCUUUUCAAUGUGUCAAUUUUACUUCUACAGGUUUCCUCUUAGGUGCUUUGUUAGUUAUCGUAGAUCAGGGAGAACAUAUGGUAUUUGUCCCUUUGGGACUGGCUUAUUUCACUAAGUAUGAUGUUUUCCAGAUUCAUCCAUUUUGUUGCAAAUGACUGGAUUUUUUUUAAACCUCUGUGUAGUAUUCCAUGGAGUACAUAUCCCGUAAUUUGUUUAUUCAGUCUUCUGUUGAUGGGCAUUUAGGUGGAUUCCAUGUCUUAGCUAUUGUGAAUUGAGCUGCAAUAAACAUGGUGGAGCAGAUAACUCUUUUAUUUGCUGAUUUCAUUUCCCUUGGGUAAAUUCCUAGGAGUGGCAUGGCUGGGUCAUAUGGUAGGACUAUAUUCAGGUUUCAGAGGUAUCUCCAAAAUAUCUUCCAUUGUGGUUUUACCAGUUUACAUUUCUACCAACAGUGGAUUAAGGAACCUUUUUCUCCACAUCCUCACCAGCAUUUGUUGUUUGUUGAUUUCUGUAUGAAAGCCAUUCUAGGGGCCAGUGUUGUGGUGCAGCAGGUAAAGCUGCCGCCUGCAGUGCCGGCAUCCCAUUUGGUGCUGGUUCAAAUCUUGGCUGCUCCAUUUCUGAUCCAGCUUUCUGCUAUGGCCUGGGAAAGCAGCAGAAGAUAGCCUAAGUGCUUGGGCCCCUGCACCCACUUGGGAGACUCGUAAGAAGUUCCUGACUCCUGGAUUUGGGUCGAUGCAGCUCUGACCAUUGCAGCGAAUUGGGGAGUGAACCAGUGGAUAGAAGACCCCCCACUUUCUCUCUCUCUCUGCCUCUCCUUUGUCUGUGUACUCUGCAUUUCAAAUAAGUAAAUCUUUUUUUUUUAAUUGUUAUCCUUGAGGUCAGAAAUUUUUUCUUCCACUUGGUGUAUUUUGCUGUUAAAGCUCUGAAUCAUAUUUUUUAUUUCACUGAUUGGCGAUUUCAUUUCCUGAAUUUCUGUUUGGUUCUUCUUAAUGAGUUCUGUCUCCUUAGUAAUAUUUUCAUUCAUGUCCCUCAUUGAUUCUUUCAUUUCUUUAAUCUCAUUGAGUUUCCUUACAAUCAUUAUUUUGAAUUCUGCAUAUGUCAUUUCAUAGACUUCCUUCAGUUCAGGAUCUCAUUCUGGAGAAGUAUUGUGUUCUUUUGGAACUGUCUUGCUACCUUGUUUCUUCAUGUUUCCAUUUCCCUACAUUGACAUCUGCAUUGACAUCUAUGUGGUGUACUUGUCCCUUCUUCUUUAUGGAGUAGGUUUUAUUGGAAAAGAGUUUAUGGUUUAGCUGGAAUGCAGGGUAUCACUUGGCUUGUUGCUUUGCAUUUGGUUCUAGGUGAGCCCAGGAAUGUAGUCUGAGUGUUUUUUUGUCUUAAUCAAUGUCAGCUGUGUCUAUAAGUGACACAGUCAUAUAGUCUGCUGUAGUUUGUAGGGAUAAAAGUGUGACUUAUAGAAGUAAAAGGGUUUGCUUCUGGGUAACUCUGGCCCACAAAGAGUUUGGUGUUAGUCACCCUGGAGAAUGUAACAGACAGGUCCCUGUUCUUGACAUUGAGGGCGACAAGUGGCUGCCUCCUUGUCCUCCUGGCAAGCCUGAGUGAUGUCAGGGCUUAUGUCCUAACUGCUGUGGCUCUAGAACUGUGUGAUACAGAUGGACCCUUCCUCAGGUCCUGCUAGGAGAGUCCAUCUGGUGCUCUGGCUUAUAAUACCAACAACCCUAGUCCUAGGACUACAGGAUGUGAAGUGAACCCUGUUUCAACCCUACAUGGUGACUACAGGUCUUCAGGGGAUUUACUGUGGAGGGUAUGACUCCAGAGAGGUGGAAUGAAGGUAGGUUCUUCCCUGUGUCCACCAGGUAGAUUGCAGUGGCAUCGAGAAAUUUCAUACAAAUUGUUACAGUCCUGAUGUUGCUGGUAUACUAGGAUCAUUACCAAAAUCUCUCAGGGUGGGAGAGAGUUUUUUAUGGGCUGCUUCUGGUGUUAGACCCCAGCAGCUUAGCUGAAUUCCCCUGGCUCACAUAGAAUGUGUGAGCUUAGCUCUGGGGCUAAUGCCCCAAAACUCCCACAGUUGCAGGGUGCUGAGGAUCCGUCCUUUGCCCCCUGUUGUCCUGGUUAUGACUGUGAGCCUGUAGGAGCAGAAUAGAGGCUGAGUAUUGCACUCUGUGUGUGGUGGGGAGGGGAUGAAAGGACAGGAACGUGGCUUCCCUGCUCCAAGCCAGGCAGUGGCUCAGGUCCAUGUCAGCUCUUCAGGAUGAAGGAAAAGUCACUGCAUGACUGUGGAAUUCCCUCUUAGCCAAAGCUGCUGAGUGGUAGGGUGUGUGGGGAUUGCUUCCUACCUUAAGGUGGUAAGAUGGUGGCUCACAGCUGUUUUUUUUUUUUUUUUUCCCUGCUUUGCUGAAAAUUUCUGUCAGACUCCUGGACACUGAGUCCUUCCUUUGUUCUUUUCAUAUCCCAGAACAGCUUAAGUUGGUGUAGCUACACCCUGUUCAGCCAUCUUGGAUCUCCCAAGGCCUUUCUUCAGUAUCUUUAUAGCACAAGUAUUUUGGCAGUGAAUUCUGGUUUUGUCUGAAAAAUUCUUCAUCUACUUUGAUGUUUAGAAGAUAUUUUUGCUAUGGUUAGAAUGCCACGUGGACAGUUUUCCUUAUAGUACUUAAAUGAUAUAAUUCCAGUUUUUUGUGUCUUGCAUUCUUUUUGUAGAGAAGUAUGCUGUUAUUCUUAGAUUUUUUCUUUUCUGUGUGAUUUUCUUUGACUGCCUUCACAAAUUUUACAAUAUCUUUGUUUUCUUGCAGUUUUACUGUGAUGUGCCUAACUUACUCCUCUGCUUAGGGCUUUCUGUGUUUCUUUAUGUUGUGGUUUGAUGUGUUUCAUUAAUUUUGGGAAAAUUAUUCACUAUUAUCUCUUCAAACACUUUUUUUCUGCUCCCUUUUCUUUCUCUUCUACUUCUGGAAUUCCAAAUAUGUUAUACCAUUUGAUAUCAUCCCAUACCUCAUACAUGCUGUUUUUUCCUUGUUGUUAGAAUAAUUUUUAUUUUUAAAUAAGUUCCUAAAUCCUUUAUUCGACAUUCAGUUUUCUGAUAAGCCUUUUGAAAGAAUCCUUCCUUUUUGUUAUUAUGCUUUUUUAUCUUUAGCAUUUCCAAUUGGCUCUUAAAAAAUAGUCUCUAUUUCUCUUCUGAAAUUACCCAUUUACUCAUUGUUGUUGUCCACCUUUCACACUAGAUUUGAAAAAAGAAGACAUAUUAGUAACGAUUAUUUUAAGCCCCUGUCUGGUAACUCUAACAUCUGUAUUACCUCUUAUUCUGGUAAUAUUGACCACUUUAUCUUUUGACCAAGUCUCUUCUAAUUCCUUCCAUGCAUUUCUUCUGUCCCAUAAUUUUUUAUCCAGCAUCAGACAAUGUAUGUAGCACGACGGCAGAGACUGAGGUAAAUUCUGUUCCUGCCUGGAAACAGAGACCUCCAGUUUGAGAAACUGGAUAAAUGUUGUUAGAAACUGAGCUGGAUUGAUCUGAUUUUAUUGUGUGAUAGGCCUCCAAGUCUGCCCAGGGUGGCUUGCUGCUACUUUGUGCUUAGUGUGGAGCCUGCAGAGAUGGAGGACUUUGUUCAUGUUUCCACCUCAUCCUCAGCUUUCAGCAAGCCCACCUGCCUGUACCAGAGAGCGCUCUCUCUCCAUGUUGUUGCCUCUCCUAAGGACUAGACUGCUGUUGCUGCUUGCUCAGUGUGAAACUUGCAGUGUGGCAGGAUGGUGUUCGUGAUGGUUGGGGAUUUCUCUCUUUUGCUUUGGUCUUCGUCUUAGGUCUUAUGUGUCUGGGUCUGAGGCCUGAGAUUUUCUCUUUCUCACAUUAGUGGGGGCUGUGGGUGGAGAGGACAUCUCCCGCUCCCAGUGGUGACCUUCCUCUGCAAGUAUCUCUCAAGGUGAUGCACCCACAGUGGCUUUCUGCCCCUCCUCUGGGAGGCAGGUGUAUGUUGCUUCUGCCUCUCCUUUAGUGGAGGUGAGUUGCUGUGGUUUGCAUGCGGUCUGAGCACCAAAGGUUCCCAUUUGAGUAGCUUGAUUCCUCUUGUGCUGGUGUUCAGGUGAUGGAACCUUGGAGAGGUCAGGCCUAGUGGAAAGUGGUUUAGGUCAGAUGCUGCACUCUCAUGAAUGGAUGUGUGCUGUCUUGCAGGACUGAGGUCUCGUGGGCCUGGAUUAUCUCUUAUGUGAAUGAAUUGUUGUAAAGCUAGGGCAUUCAUUCCUUGACCACUUUUUUCCAUGACCUUAACAUGUUGUGACACAGCCAAGGGCUGUCCUUGCCAGAUGUUGGUGCCAUCAUGUUUGAACCUGCAACCAUGAGAAUUGUGAGUCAUAUACCAGAGUAUUCCAGAAAAGGUAUGAGAAAAUGGAAUUAAAAGAUAAGCUUAUUUUGGUGCAAAAACUUUGAAAUCCAUGCACUGGUUUUUCAUAACUUUUAAGACCCAUAUAUAUCUGUUCUUCAAUAAGUACCAGUAGCACCAGGUAUUCUGUUAUAGCAGCACAACAUGAACUAAUACCUGUACCAGUUUCCAGGACUGUUACUCUUAAGUAGGUUUCAAUAUCUGUGUUUAAUAAGUACCGGUUGCCCCUCUUCCAGGCCAGCUCUCUGCUGUGGCCUGGGAGUGCAGUGGAGGAUGGCCCAGGUCCUUGGGCCCUGCACCCGCAUUGGAGACCAGGAGAAGCACCUGGCUCCUGCCAUCAGAUCAGCGCAGUGCACCAGCUGUGGCGGCCAUUGGAGGGUGAACCAACGGCAAAAAGGAAGAUCUUCCUCUCUCUCACUCUCCACUCUGCCUGUCAGAAAAAAAAAUAAUAAAAGGGUCUGGAAAAUAGCAAGAUUUCAUACCUGUAUACACUCUAGGAGGCCUCUCUUGACUCUUGCUUGAUCUUUUUUUUUCUUAAAGAUUUAUUUUAUUUAUUUGAAAGACAGGAGUUACAGAGAGAGGUAGAGACAGAGAGAGAAAGGUCUUCCAUCCGCUGGUUCACUCCCCAGAUGGCUGCAACGGCCAGAGCUGUGCCAAUCCGAAGCCAGGAGCCACGAGCUUCUUCUGGGUCUCCCACAUGGGUGCUGGGGUGCAAGGACUGGGCCAUCUUCUGCUGCUUUCCCAGGCCAUAGCAGAGAGCUGGAUCAGAAGAGGAGCAGCCGGGACUAGAACCAGCACCCAUAUGGGAUGCCAGCAUUUCGGGCCUGGCCUUUAACCUGCUGCACCACAGCACUGGCCCCUCUUGCUUGAUCUUAAUCCAUCUUGUGAACUAUUGGGAAAAUCUGAUUGGUGAAGAUAGACUUUGCUUUUGAGUCUCAGAAAUUCUAAUCUUCCUUGUUAGAUGCUAGAUGUAGUUUGAAUAUUAGUUUGGGUGUCUUCCACAGGCCCAUGUGUUAUGGGUGAAGUCUCCAAGAUAUUAUGUUAGUGGUUAAUGGGUGAACAUUAACGUCUAAUGGAUUUAAGGGAGAAACUUAGUCCACUUGUGUCUGAAGAUGAGGCCUUUGGAAGUGAUUAGAUUGCAUGAAGUUGUUGGGGUGGAGCCUGUGGUUGAAUCAUGGUGCCUUUACAAAGGGAGACAUUGGCACAGAAGGUGAGUAUUCUCCCAGUCUCUGUUUUCUGGAUCUCCAUGUGGUCCUGUCUCUGCACACAGUCUGCCAUCUACCGCUCUCCUCAGACACCAGCCCAGAAGAGCCACCCAGUGUUGCACUGUGCACAGCCAAAACUGUGAGUGAAAGUAAACCUUUUCGUUUAUAAAUUAGCUUAAGUACUCGUGUUACAGUGACAAAAAGCCGGCCAAUAGACUAUUCAUAUCCAGCAUCUAUGAUCCUUUAGAAAUUUCAGCUCUUUUCUUCUUACUGACUUUCAUGCUGCCUGCCUCUUCAACUUGUCCUUUGCAAACAGUGAAACGUUUUGUGUGUUGUAUCUCCUUGGAGGGGCUAGUCAUGCUUCGGAUUUCAGUUUGCUCUUUGCCUGGUAGCAUUAGCUUUCUGAUGGGCUGGAGAAAAAUUCUAAUUUUGUGGGUUAUUUUUUUUUUCUUUUUAGAUAGGAGGUGAUAUUCUCUUGUGGUUUUUUACAUUCUGAGAAGGAAUGGAAAUGUGGGUGAUACCUUAAAUGACACUGGUCCAUUGCCGUGUGUCCAAGAGGGGUUCUAGAAAUUGUAACCAUAUGGAAUUGGUUAAAUGACCAAGGAGACUUUAGAUUGGAGAAGGGAAAUUUUUUGGUGAGAAGCAUGUGGUAUGUAUUACUCACUUACAGUGAGCUGUCAGAUGGCCAUGAUGAAGUAGUGUAGAUUUUACCUGCUAUUUCUUGUGUUGUCAGUCAAUUAGCUUAUCAGUUAUUCAGCCCCUUUGUGCUGGGCACUGAGGAUGCAAAGACAAAUAGGAAACUAGCCCUACUCUUAAAGGGUCCCAAUCCAGAAUUACGGAUGACUUCAGUUUAAGUGAGAACUUGACACUAUUUAAAGCCUUUAAAGAUGCGUUAGUAAAUAUGGACAGCACACAGGCUUUUAGAGUUGGAGACACCAAAGUUCCCAGCCUGGUUCCACCAUUUUCUAGCAAACAGAAUGUGGACAAGUUAACGUGUUUCUCUUUUAAACAUUUUCCUUGAAGGACUGUUGAGCAGACAAGAAGAGCUGAAGUAUGUAAUGUGUCUGGGUCAUUCACUUUUCUUGCAUGUCUCUGAAAAGUUGGGUGCACUUGCAGUGGGCUAUUUAAGCAGGAUGUGCCUGAUCAGCCAGGGUGGAUGGAAGUCUUGCUGUGGUCAGCGAUGGGAUGGGAAGAUCUGGUGGUCCCUUAUAGUUUUUCCUGAGAGCAUGAAGUUAUGCCAUGAGGAAGCACGGUUUGGUGAUGAGAGGAGUUCUGUGGGUCCUGGGCUGUAUGUGGUCUAUUGCCCUUUAAGAAAAUUCUAAAGAAAACGAGGGUACACGUAUACUAACCAAAUAUGGUUACCAAGGGAGGGAGAAGCAGGGAGAUACUGAAAGGGAAAGUAAUGGUUGGAAGAGAGAAAAGGCUUUGAGUGAAUUUCUCAUUUCCUGCAGACUUGUCUUUAGCACAGCCUUCAGUCUAAAGUCUCGGAAGGCUAAAACUCAAGGGAAAGCACUCAUUUUUGCUGGAUUGAAUAGGUAGAGAUGAGGGCUCAGGGCAACCCUAGCUGCUGAAGGGAGAGAGCAUGAGACUGCAGUCCCAAAUUCCAUGUAGAAGAUCUUCUCUAGUUUAUGGCUGGGCCCUGAACCACACACGUGGGGCAUAUUGCACAUGAGCUGUCUCAGGCUCAAACUAUCAAAUUGAAAAACUUACUGCUCCCUCUCUCAGGGGAGAUGGUGUUUUGCAGUUUGAUUUCAGUCAAGUUAACUGUCUAAUUAAAAAAAGAAGAUUUUCACAGAAACUUAACAGAAUCUGAUAUUUCUACAACAUAUCAUUCACGAUAUCCAAGAUGCUAUCUAAAAUUAUUCAUUGUGUGAUGAAAGGAGUUAACAGAGACCAACCCCAAGAAUACCCAGAAGAUGGGAGAACAAGCAAAGAUUUUAAAGUAGCUAUUUUAAGUAUACUCAAGAUCAUAAAGAAAACAUGUUCACAGUCUAGGAAACGAUGGAAGUUUUAGUGAGAAACAGUGGACAUUUUAGGAUGAAAAAUUUGGAAUAGUAAAUGAAGUACAUUGGAUGGGCUUAAUAGUACAGUGGAGAUAGUGGGAAGAGCCAGACAUUAAAGAAAGGUCAAUAGAAUGUAUUUAGUCUUAAAAAAAGGAAAACAUGUAAAUGGAGACACAAGGGACUGUGGACAGUAUCCAAAGCUCUAAUAUCCUUGUAUGUUGUAAUAUAAGUUCUAACAUAUUUGAGUUCCAGAAGGAGAAGCAAGAUAAUGAAAUAAACAAAAGAGAUCAUGGCUGAAAAUCUGCCAGAUGCAGUGAGUGACGUAGAGGUGUAGAUUACGGAGCUCAGCUCAGUGGCGUUAUUCAGGAUUCAAGACAACUCUGCUUGUGCACAUCCAUGUGAAGCUCCAACCCUUCUCCCCCCAAAAAACAGAUGAAGGAGAAAUCUGGAAAACAAGCGGGGAAGCGCUAUGAAUCACUUAUAGGGGAACAACAGCUUGAAGCACCUGACCGUCUCAGCAGGAACAGUGGUGGCUGGGAGGGAGCAGGACAGCACCACCCCAAAGAGCUUUCAGACGAAGAAAACAGCAAACCAGAAAAUCUGUGUAUCUCGAAUACUCUGUCCAGUCAAAGUGAGCUUCCAGAAUAAAGGUAAAAUAAAGACCUGGUCACAUGGAAUAAAACUAAGAUAAUGUGUCUCUGGCAGAAAUGUGUGCCAAGAAAGGGCUCAGCAGGUCCUUUAAGCUGGAAAGUGGAAAUUUGUCCUUAGGAAGCAAGGAGGAGCAUCAGGUGAAUUAAGUAUGUGCAUGAACAGAAAACAAUAGUGCUUUUCCUCUGACUUCUUCUACAUAGAUGUUGCUGUGUGUCCCCCAAAGUCUACCAAAGGGUGUUUGUAGAUGUGAUGUACAUGACGGCUCUACCAUAAAGGCUUGGGGUGGGACUUACAGACCCAUAUGUUGGGUGAUUUUUUUUUUUUUUUUACUUUUUACUUUUUGUGUGAUGGGGUAUAGCAUGACAAUCCUUCAGAAAGUUUUUUGAAAAGUGAAAUUAAAAGAUGAGGUUGUUUUGUGCAAACAAAGUUUUGAAACUUGUGCAUUUUUUCAUAAUAUGCAUUUUCCAUGAGCUUUUGGAAGACCUUUCAGAUCAACUUUAAGACAAAUUAACAGGUGCAUAUUACCAUCCUAGGGUAAUUCUCAAAAAUAGUUUAGGAAGUACAGUUAAAAAGCCAAUAGAAAAAAUGAAAUCCUAAAAAGCUAGAUAAUAACUCCAAAAGAUGGCAGGAAAGGAAGAGCAAAGGAGUAAGAGAUAAGGGAGACAAACAGAAACUUGUAAAAUGGUGGACUUGCGGGUAGGCAUAAAAAUAAAAUGGCAGACUUGAGCCAUAUUGGUCAUUGUUUUAAUGUUAGUGGACUAUGCAUCCAGUGGACACAAGGCUGGUAAAGCUUGACUGUUCAGUCCUCAGGAAUGUUUUAGAUGGUUGUGGGGGGACUUUAGGAGGCCACAUGACCAUGAAAAAUGAUGAGCUAGUAAACUCUCUAGAAAAGACAGGAGGUGUAGCCUUUGGUUUGUCCAGGUCUCCUGGCGCUGAUGCAACAAGAUGCAGUUUCAGUCACAGCUGAAUCUGGCUGUGCUUUGAUGUGGGAAUCAGGUGGAGCUGAGGUUGCAGGAGGGACAGGAAGCCCCUGUGUCUUUUCUCCUGUUUGGCCUUCCCUGUGUCAUGUCUGUCAUUAAGCAAAUUGUCCUAUGUUCAUUGAGCUGUGUGUUUUUUUUUAAACUUAUUUUUCUCUGAUUGGAAGGCAAGGGGAUGGGGAGGGAGGAAAGGAGGGAUAGAGAGGGGGAGAGAGAGAGAGAGAGAGACAGACACACACACACACACACACACACACACACAGUGAAGUCUUCCAUCUGCUGGUUCAUUCCCUAAAUGCUUGCAACAGCUGGUGCUGGGCCAGGUCAAAGCCAGAAGCCAGGCACUCAGUCUGGAUCUCCCAUGUAGGUACAGGGAUUCAAGUAUUUGAGCCACCACCUGCUGCCUCCCAGGGUGCCCAUUUAGCAGGAAGCUGGAUCAGAAGUGGAAUAACAGGAACUAGAACCGUGCACUCAGUUGUGGGGUAGGAGCAGCCCAGACAGUGACUUCACUGUGGUGCCAAACACUUGCCCUUCUCUUUGUGCUUUAAUAAAGUUUGCCCUGGAUAACACGGAGUUAGUCUGCCGUGUACUCACUGCCUUGAAUCCUGGUGCAGGUCUACACUGAGUGAUUGAGAGCUCUGUUAGCAACCGUGUAGAUUUCUGCACUAGAGCCUUUGUAAAAUGUGAUGGAAGAUAACUGUAAAAUAAACAUCUAUUGAUUAAAAAAAUUCACUGUACUUCCCUGGAUCUUAUAAGUAAAAAAAAAAAAAAGGAGUUAAUUGGUCACCUCAGUAGAGUUUGGGUCAUUAAGUAUAAGAUUUAAGGUGAGUCCUGAGCACCUGUCUAUAUUUUAACAGGCUCGCAGGUGAUCCUUUCGCUCAUCUGUAAGAGGAUCUCCAGUUUGUAACAUUCUGUCUUUCAAUGGUUUUCCCAAAAUGUCAUGAAAAACAGUUUUUGCAUAUAAACUUUUCAUUUUUAAAUGUUUAGCCCAUUUAGGGUCAAGUGAUAUUUUUAUCCUAAUAUCCUUUGUGUUCUUUCCUAUACCACUCUCAGUCUCAAUAACGCAUUUGGCCAUUUUUCUUUACCUAUCUUGAGGCUUGGAAAUAGUCUACAAAGUCAACUUUAGAAGCAAGAGCUUUGGCUCCACAUAGACAGGGGAAUGCUCUAUGCGGUUCUUUCUUUCUUUCUUUCUUUUUUUUUUUUUUUUACAUUUUAUAUUUCUUUGAAAGAGUUACAUAUAUAUAUUUGAAAGUCAAAGUUACAGAGAGAGAGAGUGCGCGAGUGAGUGAGUGAGCUUCUAUCUGCUGGUUCACUCCCUGAAUGGCCACAGCCCCUGGGGCUGGACCAGGCCAAAGCCAGGAGCUAGGAGCUUCUUCUGAAUCUCCUAUGUGGGUGUAGGGUCUAAGAACUUGGGACAUCUUCUCCUGCUUUCCCAGGUGCAUUAGCAGAGAGCUGGAUGAGAAGUGAAGCUGCCAGGACUCAAACCAGUUUCCAUAUGGGAUGCCAACAUUUUAGGCAGCAGCUUUACCAGCUAUGCAACAAUGCCGGCCCCAUCUGUGCAGUUCUGAGUUGUCUCAGAACCACAACGUGGCCUGGGCUGGCUGGAGAAUCUUUGUGUGUUUGUGAGAAUGUUUUUUCGUUUCUAGGGUAUAUUGGGAUGGCUUGGAAGUGGCUUGGAAGUACAAUGUUUGUAUUUAAAUGCACGAGAGCAGUUGUCAGAAAGUGGGAGCUAGAUGCUGGUUGGUUCACUUUGGGGUGGUGGAGACACCUCAGCAUCCGUUUCUUGGGGAUCCUUACAGGACCUUGUUGCUUGUCUGCCUCUUUCUGGGUGCUGGUUUUGACUGUACUGGCAAGAGUGUAUUGGUGAAUCCUUCGCUGAAGUUCUUGGCACCUCCAGGGACAUUUCUACAGGUAAAAUCUGUUAGCAGAGGCUAAGUCCUAAUCAGACAGUAGUGGGUGAGUUGGGGAGGCUGGAGCUGACGUAUGAGAGGGAAUUGCAUUGUGGGAGAGACUUUGGCCAGAAGGUAUGCUAGUAGUAGGAAGGGCAGUUAGAGGCAUGUUUUUUUUUUUUUGACAGGCAGAGUGGACAGUGAGAAAGACAGAGAGAAAGGUCUUCCUUUCGCUGUUGGUUCACCCUCCAAUGGCCACCACAGCUGGCACGCUGUGGCCGGCUCACCGCACUGAUCCGAAGGCAGGAGCCAGGUGCUUCUCCUGGUCUCCCAUGGGGUGCAGGGCCCAAGUACUUGGGCCAUCCUCCACUGCACUCCCUGGCCACAGCAGAGAGCUGGCCUGGAAGAGGAGCAACCGGGACAGAAUCCAGUGCCUUGAUCGGGACUAGAACCCAGUGUGCCGGUGCUGCAAGGUGGAGGAUUAACCUAGUGAGCUGCGGUGCCGGCCUAGAGGCAUGUUUUACCAGUGAGUAUGAUUAUGGAGGAGAACGCUCAUUUUGUUUGGUCACCCUCGGUGUCAAACUUUGCACUUCCUACUUAGUUUUAAAGUUUAAGUCACUGAAGUCGGGUAAGAUAAAAGGUAGAGGUGAAUCACAUUCUGGAUUUCCUUAACACAUUUAUCAAAGGUGAGUGCCAGGCCAGUGACUUCUUUACCAACAGCACUGAUUCCUUAUUGCUGUGAUUGCUAAUUCCCAUGGCACGCCCAGCCUGUGUGCUCUGUCCUCCUCCCCACUCCACUUCCUGAAAGAUUCAUUGUCACUCACUGUGUCCACAUACUGCCAGGCUGCUCACCCCGCAGUCUCUGAGUUGUGUUGAUGGACCGGCAGCGAGGGCAUCUCUUGGGAGCUUGUUGGAAUUGCUGGACUGUGGGCCCCAACCCAGACUUACUGAGUCACAGCCCUCAUUUUUUUUUUGACAGGCAGAGUGGACAGUGAGAGAGAGAGACAGAGAGAAAGGUCUUCCUUUGCCAUUGGUUCACCCUCCAAUGGCCGCCGUGGCCAGAGCGUUGCGGCUGGCGCACCACACUGAUCCGAUGGCAGGAGCCAGGUGCUUCUCCUGGUCUCCCAUGGGGUGCAGGGCCCAAGCACUUGGGCCAUCCUCCACUGCACUCCCGGGCCACAGCAGAGAGCUGGCCUGGAAGAGGAGCAACCGGGACAGAAUCCAGUGCCUUGACCGGGACUAGAACCCGGUGUGCCGGCGCCGCAAGGCGGAGGAUUAGCCUAGUGAGCCGACAGCCCUCAUUUUUAACAAGAUCCCCAAGUGAUUGAUGGUACGUCGAGGUCUGAGAGGUGCUACUAAGGUGCUACUAAGGCAUUUUUGCAGGCCUUCUCAGCACAACGCCUAAUGGCCAGUUCUCACUCUCCCUCUCCUUAACUGCUCUGCUGUUUGAUGCAGUCUUCUUCCAAGCUUCUCUUUAUUUGGCUUCUCUAACACAGCUGUCACGUUCUUCAUCACACUUCGCUGGCUGUUCCCUUCUCUGGUUCCUUUUCUGGGCUCUUGUCCUCCUGUCAGCGCUAGACUCCAAAAUACGGACAUUUCUACAAGUUUGUGUCUUGCCCUACCUUCUCUUUCUCCUAAGGUUUGAUUCCACUGUUCCAGUUGCCUUCUAGAGAGCUCUCCCUCGGCCACCCCUCUGAAAUCUCACAAACGUGUUGUCCACACCGACUUAGCUCUCAGCUUUCCUGUUCUCCGAAACCCGUCUCGUUCUCUGGCCUUCCUCACAUUAGCGACUGACAUCCCUGUGGGCCCUCUGCAUCCUCCACUUCCUGUGUUUCCUUCCCUGUCGAGCCCAUCACCAGGUUGUACCUCCAUGCCUGUCUUGUGUUCUGAUUUUCUCAGUUGCUAUUCAUUCCAGUUGGUUUACUCUUUGUCCUGAACGUCAUAAAGGCUUCAUCUUUGUAGUUAUACCCACUGUCUACUGCUGCCCCACAUCCUUCACUGUUACAUGGUCUUUGUCUUAGACAUUCCCAUCACAAAACAUUGAGUGUUUCUAUAGAGUCUGAUUUCUUCAGUGUAGGCUUCAAGGCCUUCCAUACUUGUCGCUCCCCCACUCGCGGAGGAACGACUCCGGACGCUGUUUUCUUUCCCCGGCCCUUCCCGGAUUUGCUGCCGCUCCCCCGCCUCCGUGGAGAAGCGGUGCCCCUGCCGCUCCCCCACUUUCGUGGAGGAGCGGCACCGGCCAGCUCUCUGACCGACUCUCUCAGCGGGGCACGGCCGCGCAUGUUGUCUCUCUCCCCCUUUUAAGGGGUUGGGUCAGGAAUCAGCUAAUUAACGAAGCAGCUGUGUAAGGUUUGCCCACUCUCUCUCAGCGCCAUAUGAUGGGAGAGCAGAUGCAUAGAGUUAGUCGUAAUAGUAUCAUGGUCUAGUCUAGUCUCGGUAGUCUCAGUACAUAUUUCGCCAUGUUGCGGGAGAUAGGCCCUGCUCCCCACACAUACUCAGGCCCAAUCACUUUCUGCAGCAGCUUUCUCUGUAUUCUUCUAAUGCCCAGUGCUUGGUCCAACAUUUGCUCUCAUUGGUAUUUCCCUACUAAAUAAAGAUAACCUUUGGAAUUUGGAAUGAGAAUCUAAUACAGAUUAUUACAGGAUAGACAGUGAAUCGGCUAGGGUGAGUUCAUUGCAAAUAGAUUAGGCCUUAUGAUCUACCCUUUUUUUUUUCUUAAGAGAUAAGAGAAAUGUAACAAACACCAGGCAUUUGAAGCCCAGAAAGGCUUUUUGAGACUGGAUUUGUGCCAAAAAACUCUAUCAAAAGAGAGCACCUAAAUGGAGCUCUGUCAGUGAUUUCUUGUGAUUUUUCCAAAGAACUUCAUUUUGUGCCUGAUUCUUGGUAAAAAAAUAUUUCCUGGUUCCUUAGGUGAAGAUACAGAGAGCACACAUAUCAAGUUUGUGGAUGGCAGCUUUGGGGAAGGACAACAGAAUCAGCUGAUAGAAUCAUGCUUCUGCAGUACUUUAUCUUCUAGGAUAUGCGGGUACAUCACAAAGUUCAUGAAGAGGCUGGUGCUGUGGCGCAGUGGGUAGAGCCAUUGUCUGUGAUACUGGCAUCCCAUAUGGGUGCCAGUUUGAGUCCCAGCUGCUCCACUUUCCAUCCAGCUUCCUGCUAACGCACCUGGGAAAGCAGCAGAAGAUGGUCCACAUGUUUGAGCCACUGCCACCCAUGUGGGAGACGCAGAUGAAACUACUGGCAGAUGGAAGAUCAAUCUUUCUUUCUCUGUCUUUUCUCAAAUAAAAUAAACCUUUAACAAAAAGUUGGUGAAAAUGAAAUUAAAAUAUGUUUAUUUUAGAGGAAAGAAAAUUUGCAAUCUGUGUGUUUUGCGUGUAUUUUUUGAAUUUGAAAAAUUUUGAAUUUCAAACAUUUAAAAAAAUUGCACCAUAAUGAAUUUACUGGGUUACAGGGGCCCAAGUACUUGGGCUAUCCUCUGCUGCUUUCCCAGGUGUUAUGAGCAUGGAUCUGGGUUGGAAGUGGAGCAGCCAGGACUUGGGCCUAUGCCCAUACAGGAUGCUGGUGUUGCAAGAGGCUGCUUAACCUGCUACAGCAAAACGCCAGCCCUAAGAAGCUUAAUUUUAUUAUUAUUUUUACAGAUUUAUUUAUUUACUUAAAAGUCAGAGUUGUAGACACAAGAGACAGACAGGGUUGGUGGGGAGAUCUUGCAUCCACUGGUUCACUCCCCAAUUGGCUACCUGGCUAGGGCUGGGCCAGGCUGAAGCCAGGAGCAAGGAGCUUCUUUCCGAUCUCCCACAUGGGUGCUGAGGCCCAAACACUUGGGCCACCCACUACUGUUUUUCCCAGGUGCAUUUAGUAGAGAACCAGUGCUCAUAUGGCAUGCCAGCAUUACAGUCGAUGGCUUAAGCUGUUGUAGCACUCACUGUGUCAGCCUUAUUUUUUAAUCUUAUUAAACUUAAUUAAUCUUAGCUUAUUUUAAAAUCUCAUUUUCCACAAUACUGUUGAAGUGUUCUGGAAUAUGGUGCAAAUCAGAAGACAUGAAAUUGAAGAACAUUACACUUGUACUUGGGCUUGUGGAUAACUCUUGAAGAAAGUACUGCCAUAGGGCUGAUGUCUGAGGAAAGCAUUAAGUUUUGUCUGUUCAGUUCUAGGUGCUACAUGUUACACUGCAAGCAGACAAGUUGGAAUCUUUUUUGGGAGAAUCCAGCAGGAGCCUGCUGGCCAGGGUGUGGCUGAGUGUGCAAGCUGCUGGGUGGUCUUUGAGGUUUUUCAAGCCCAGCUUGGCUCAGUUAAAGUCUCCUGGAGGAGGGGAAUGGCUGAGUUACCUUAGUUUUUCUGAAGACAUUGAGCACCAUGCUUUGCCCGUAGUGUGUGUUCAUAAAUCCUGUGCAGUGACUGCUGUUAGUGUCAGUUUUGCCUCCUGGUCCAGAACCCAGUUUUCUGAGGGCUGUAGGACUUACUCUGUUUCUUUCGGUAUCAUCCCAGCAUCUUGUAUAGGCGUGGGUUUUCAGUAGGUACUUAGCAAAUACAGGUUGAGUUUGCAAAAUUAAAUGUUAGGACAAAUCCAUGAAAUACCAUUGACUUAACCACAUUUCUCCUUUCCUGUUAGUUAGAAACAGGGAAACAAGUGGUGAGUAGGAGCUGUAGUGGACUAGGGAUCAGGGCUGCCUCUCCCCUACACUAGCUUGCCUUGGGUAGGCGAGAAUCCGCGUAGGAUCUGCUGAUGAAGGAGAAGUGGUGUGGAAAGUAUCAUAGCUGUACUGGGCUUCUCCCAGCCUUUUGGUAUUGGUUAUGGUAAUGAAAUGCUUUAAGAUGACACAGUUAAGGCACUUCAUCACUUGCGAGUUUCAGUUCUUUUCAGUGGGCUUGGAAACAGCAGAAAUUGCUUAGUUGGCUUCCUGGGAGAGUGCAGCCCACGACCCAUGAUUCACUGGGGUCUGUCCAGCUGCUGUGUGCUGUUCUCUGGCAGGUGUGACGAGUGCUGCCACUGACACCACCUCUGGGAUGAACGCAGGCUUUCCGAGGGCUCUUUGAUGAGUAUCUGGGAGAGCGAGCGCUGUUGGAAGGGCGCUGAGCUGCUCUUCAUCGUUGCUGUGGAGCCACGCCCACCUCGGAGACUUUGAUCGAUGCCUAGGGUGUGUGUUCGCUGCGGGGCCCCUCCUCGCAGGUGCCUACUUUUUUGGGUGCUCUUUUCCUGUGUUCCCUUUCUCUGUUUUGUCACAGUUCUCUAGAAUGGAUCGGCAUGCAAAGUGACAAAGUGGUGGUCUUCGGUGGGGGGGCUGUCAAACCUGGAGACCCUGGGUUUGGCCAUACCGCUGGGUCAGAGGAAAAUAUUUUAUAUAAGGGGUGUGGCUAAGAAAGCAUGUAAAUAAACCCAGUAUCUACUAUUCAGACCCUAAAGAGUUAAAAGUCGGAGUCACUUUUACCAUUUAAUUGUGUUUAGCUCUGUGCUUAAAAAAAAAAAAAGAAUGUAGAAAAAAAAUCAUGUUUCAUUAAUGUGCCAGC